UGGAUCUGAAAUAUUCUACCAACAAACUAAUGUUUGAGGCUUACCUUUUAUUUGAUUUUUUUUCCAGGUCCUUAAGAUGAGUGAUGAACAUCCGUCAAGCCAUCCAAUGUUGCAUGUGGCGGCUACACCAGAGGUAUAUAUCCCCUUGAAAGCUAAUCAGUUCAUAGAAGCCCCUAUUUAAGUUAAUUGUUUCUUAAUGGGUGCCUCUGUUUCAUGUUGACAAGAGCAACAAAAAGGUUAGAAUUUCAUGGUGAUGAGUGAGCAUAAGAUGUUAUGAGAAUAUGUUUGCUUGAUUGUACAGAUGUAGGUUUCCGUAUACUUUGUUUUUUCUGAUCCAUUCCAUGUAUAGGCGUUCUUGUUAACAGCAUAGGUUCAGGCCAUAUUUAAUUAUCAACUAAUUAUCAAGUGGAGUUGCAGAUCAUGAAUAGGGGAAUGAUCAUAGAUGGCCACACCUGCAGUUCAAUUUAUCUUGAUGGAGAGGCACUUGAUUCACAAGUAGUUUUAGUGUUUUUUCUAGAUAGCUCAAGUACUUAAAGCUUCUGCAAUCAUGAUAAUCAAAAGAAGGGACCAUUAGUCAGGUUCAAUUAACCAAAUGCUUCCCAUGUAUUAACCUGUAUAUGUUGAUAUAGAUGCACGCGAUUCGCAAGUAGUUUUAGCAUUUUAGUCUCAUGACAUUCAUGAUUUUGGGAUCCAACCUUUGACUAAAUUAUAUAUCACACCCACUGAUGGUAGAGCCCUAGAACUGUUUGAAUGCCAAAUAUCCUGGACGAUCAACCUUUAGUUUGAACUUUGGAUCCAUUUCUUAUCUCCAGUGAGCAUUUUUAUAAAUAAUAUCCAAUUAUGUAGCGCUAGCUCGAGCCUUGAACACUAUUUUUCUUGUUUUCUUUUUUAAAACCGCCAACAACAUUCAUUCAAAUUCAUCUCUUAUUUCUGUAAUACAUGCUUUCAAGGAAAACUAUAUAUGCAACUACUAUAGGGAAUAAAUGCUAUGCAUGUUAGCCAGCAGAAAUCUUAUGUGUUUGAGUUUGUAAUCCAUCUGAAACUAAUAAUUUCGCCACGAACAGUCUGAAUUUGGAUAGGACCCUUGCCCAGAUCAUAUAGUUCUAGCUAUUCACUUUAUAUUGGUCCAACGUUUGGCAGUCCAUGUUUCUCUGUUUGUUCCCUAUUUGAUUAAAAUCCAUGAACAAAUAAGUGCUGUUUCUCCCUGUUUUAUCAAGUUUGAAAGUCUGAAUUUCGAUAGGACCCUUGCGCAGAUCACAUAGUUCUAGCUGUUCAUAUUAUUUUAUUUUAUAUUGGCUGUAAAUGACUUUCAGUUUUUAGCUUUCAUAAAAUUUAGACAUGUACUCUUUAACAGUAUGCUGUGGUGAUGGUUGUCCUGUGUGCUGGUUGGAUAAUAUUGCUUUUACUAGCAGUCGCAAUGCUCUUAAUUAUUAUUUUAUUUCCACAAAUAUCAUCUUGUUUUGCUAUUUAUGUAAUACUAUAUACGUUCACUGAAAGCAAACCUUUCAGUUGCUGCUGUGGUCCUCUUAUUAUUGUUAUUUAGAGUUCAAAAUCCAUCAAUUUCAUGAAUAUGGUGACAAUGUAUUUGAUUCUAUUGAAGACCCAAUGUAUGACAAGGUGCUAUUUUCAUUUACUAUGCUGGGCAACCAUGAAAAACUCGAUCCAAUUCAUAAUUUGAAUUACUCAUGUGUUCUUUAUGGCUCUACUCCUUUUUAUUGGAGAAGGGGUAUUUUUUGUCAUGUUUCUAAUGCGCAAUUUAAAGUCAUGCUUGCAUAUUUCACCGUUUUUUCUUAAUUCCAGAAUGUAGUGAUAAUUAGCUAAACUAGAGAAGUAUUAAUCUAUUCCUAUUUAGCAUACCGUAACAUUCGAAACAUUGCGUUUUGAGUUUGUUGAUAUGAACCACUCAAACGGUGCUCUCUGCCCAUAUUUAGUACAAGCGCUUCACAUUUCGAGAGAUAAUGCACCACUCAAACGGUGCUCUCUGCCCAUAUUUAGUACAAGCAACAACAAAGUUGACACCUCAGGUGUCAGGUCUGAAUUAUGCUGAACUUUUUUUAUCUUUUUAUUAACCACAUCGGUGGCUAAAAGAAUUCAUGAGUAGUAACGCAGACUAAGAAAUUGCUAUUUAUCUUGUCUAUGCUAAGAAACCGGAGACUGAAUUUUCCGACACAGAAGGAUUCCUUGAGAGCACAUCAGCACCUGAAGCUGCUGCUCUCGUAGCUCUACACUUUUCUUCUUUCCGGACACCUGACAACCUGAGCAUGCAAUAGCACAAGUAGGUCAUGCUGUGCAACAUCAGCAGAGCGCACUCAUUGCAGCGGCUACUCGGGCGUCUUUGACGACACCAUGCUUGAUGCUAAAGUAGAAGAGUGCAGCACGGUUGAUGAGCUGAAGCGGCAUGAAAACAUUAACUUUUAUUAAAAAUAAGGAUAUUUCCAUGUUUAACCUUAUUAUCGAUGUUUAUUAAAAUUGGUUAUAAAAAAGGUGCACAAUGACACAUGAAGCAGGUUCUGCCCCUUUUACGGCCCGGUGCAACGCACGGGCAUUUGUACUAGUAAAAAAAAGACUUUUGGUUUCUAAGGAGACAAUCUUAAUCCAGUAUGUAAUUUGAAGUUCAAAUUUUGUUUUUACUCAGCAAUAGUAUCCACUAAAUGUACGCAGUAUAAUUAUGUUUCAAGUAAUAUAGGCAAGCUAUGUAGUAACUGAAUAAAAGAUAAAUAAGGUGUGACAUAAUGAGAACAAAUAGUCAUACAACAAAUAAUAACAUCAAACCUAACCCUCUAACUCUUGUCAGCAGCUUGUAUCAAGUUGCGGAAGGCCCAUGUCUGAAUUAUUGAAAGAUAAAACACAUCAAGUCUUAUUACAUAAGAACAUGAAAUCAUAAAGAGCAUUUACUCGCGUAUGUUCGCGUGGAUCUGGAGCAUUGCCCGUAAGCUAAUGGUGGACAGAAUUUUAGUAGUGAAAGAAACAAACCAGUGUCAUCCAUAUUCUCAAAUUCCAUAUGAAUCAAAAAGUGAUAACAAUCCUCGAGAACAAGCCAUAUACUCCCUCCGUCCCAAAAUAAGUGUCUUGACCUUAGUACAAUUUUGUACUAAAAUUAGUACAAAGUUGAGACACUUUUUUUUGGGACAGAGGGAGUAUUUAGUAUCGAUCAGUGAGCAGCAUCAUAGAAGUCUUAUAUUUUUUUGGUUUCUGACAGAGAGCAGCAAUAUAUACAAGGGGGUCAACGCCUUCUUGCGAACUCCCAGAUGUGCAUGCUCAUGUUCCUGCCUGCAAGUAACAAAAGACUAAGCACUUAGCUUAGAAUUCAAUGUAAAAAAUGUAAAUGAAGAACAUGUAAAGGGGUUAAGUACACCACUGAUUAUUUCUCACUGGAGCGCUACACCAGAUGCAUGGCAUAGGAGGAAACUCUUAUUAUCCAAUGAUUCAGAUGUAUACUGCUACAACACACAGUACUGUUAAAAUGCUAGGGGAAGAAAGAUUUCAUGGUAGAACGAUUAUCAUUAAAAUCAUGAGGCCAAAUGGUCAACAAUUUAGUGGGGCCCUGUGAUUUUGGGCCAACAGUGUUCAUAUAUUUUCCAGUGCAUAUAUCCCAAAAAACUUGCAUCACUUUCUUGCUUUUAUUGUAACACCAGUUGAUUAAUUGACCACAAAACUGAUAAAAUAUUCCUAAGCAAAACUUCUUCUAGUUAGAACUGAAGCCUUUUGAUGUUAGCAACUCAUCUAGAGUGUCUUGCCCAACAUCAAGAAAUUAGGAUGAGAAUGAGGAAUGAAGGAUUCAACCUGGGCAGAUAAAAGUUAAUGCAUUCCAAAAUUGUUGUGGUGGACAGAGCAGCAGACGCAGCUUGAUCUCAUCCUUGUUGAAGUCGUUGAUGAAGAGGUCCAGAUUUUAACACAUAGAUGAGCAAACAAUUCCCCUAUGCAUCGCUGGCUGAGAACAAUGAUAACAACUUUUGAGAUUCAUCUUAGGCUUCCUUCUCUGUGUCCACGAGCUGCAAGUCAGCCUCUGCCUCUGAAUCGGUGUGCUGACGACGGGGGACAGGAGCCUGAGAGAGUGUGGCAUGCUGCUGUAAACUGAGAAGGGGAGAAGAGGCCUAUGGCCAUGUUACUGACUGUGACGGCCUGACGGGCUAGGCUCCUGUCUGCGCUCCCCCUCGCCGACGAGCAUGGACCUGCAGGGUCCCCAGCAGCAUACAUGGCUAUCCGGAGAGGCAGGGCUCGGCGAGCAAGGGCAGGGCAUAGAGCGCGGCGUCAGUGUCACUGUAACCAUCAACCGGAUUCAACGCGCGCGAUUCUGACACCGCCCUGCCUCCUGCGCGUCCUCCUCCUCCCGGCCAUUUACUUUCGACAUGGCGUAGAAAGUGUACUUCUGAGUACUUCUAAAUUAUUUUGCUACUUGAAAAGUUGUCUGAGUGGUAAAUUGUUUUCCAAAUUUCUAAGAACAUAUUUAUUUUGCAUGGAUUGGAGAUUGAUUGAUUGUUUGGUUGUCCGCAGAUUCAAAGAUGAAGUACAUAGUAAAGGUAGGGGCAAGGGGCAUCAGACGUGCUAAUUUUUCUGAACUCUACAAUGGAGCCUGUGUUUCUGAAUUUCUGUCAAAGUGUCAACUCUGGAUCAUACAUAGUAGUGCUUUUUUGAUAGUAGGUGGUCUGAAUUUCUGUCAAUGGUUUGAAUUUCUCAAAGUGACUACUGUAGAUCGUACAUAGUAGUGCUCUUUUGAUAGUAGGUGGCCGAAGUGUCAAACGUUGGAACAAGCAUGAAAAGAAUAUCAACAUCUCUUUGAUUGAUUGCACCCUUGAGGCUGGGCGAAAGCAGCGGCCUGUUUGUGAUGCUUGACUUCACAGGAUAGAAACCUUGAUAAAGGAAAAGCUUGUCAUCCUUGAAUGUCUUGUUACCAUACUCCAUGACAUGAGAACCGAUAUUGGAGUCAUUUGGGGGUGCCGUUCUUGCUUUAACCACCUCGUACUGCUGCUUGAUGGUUUCCUUCUGUAGAUUGUGAGUUUCACUGCACAGUAGGAUCCCAUGGUUCAGAAUAGCAAGACAACAUACAGAGCAUAAAUAUUACACCUGAUGCUUUUUACCUGUCUUCCAUCCAAGAAACCCUGUAUGCGUCACCCAAGCAGGUCAUACAUUCAGGAGGAGCUGGUGUUUCCAUCCCAGGGCAGUAUGCUCCCUAGCUACUUUCUUCCACAUUUGCUGCUGUUGUAACAUAAAUAUUAAGGUCUUGUGGCAUUAAUCCCUCAAAGAUACUGCCACUUUCACAUGCUUCAACAUAUAUGAUCUGCCAAAAUUGCAAUUCUAGUUGAAUAUAAGACUCAAAACAGACCGUUUCAGCUUAAUAAAUAUAUUUUUUAAUGGAAAAGAAAAAAGAGAGGAUAGAUACCAUCUCGGAAUAGCUUUUGGAAGCAUGCUUUUGCCGUAGCACUUUGAUGAAGUCGCCAGCAUAAAAAAAUGGCAGGUUGGGCAUACCUACAUGGGUCUUUAACAGAAUCAAAGACAUAGUGAGAGUGUUCCUGAGACUGAGGGCAUCUGCAAUGAUAAUCAUCAAAUAUUUUCGUGUCGUAACAAGAUCUGUGGACCCCAAUGCCUUGAUUAAAUGUACACAUGGUUCCAGCGGCACGAGCUUAAUUGCACAAAAGGACCAACAAACCUAGCUCUCGAUAAAAAAUAUAAGCUCCAAAACAUGUACAAUUAAUGAAACUUCUCUCUUCAACUUAUCCUCUGAAUAUUUUUACCAAUUUUUUUAUAUUUUUUCUCAAGAUGCUUAUUGACUUAAGCUUUCCAGAGUAAAAAGAGUCACUCAAUUCCGAGUUUACGUGAGGGGGUCAAUAAAAUCUACAACCGAUCUAAAAAAUUGUGACAAACAAUGGUUCGAAACUUCGAAGGCCAAAAGAUUGUUCAAUAAAGAGCACAUUUGAAAUAGCAAAACAGAAUGCUAUGUGAUAAGAAAAAAUUCUGUUAUUCACCUAGACAUUAAAAGAAUCUCAAGUCACUCUGAUCCAUUCUGUGUUAUUCAGUGCACUACAAUUUAUUCACCAACAAAAUAAAGACCAAGAAGCAAUGAAUCUGGAGGUUACUGACCUUUUAUGCAGCAAAGGAGACACGGCUAUAUGUGGUUCUGCUCGAUAGCCCAUAAGUACAGCAUGGGAUCCUUCUUAUUGCUCCUGUACGUUGUCUCAUUCAGACAACUGUAGCUACUAACAUCAAUCAACAUUCCUUCCAAGCACUUGAAUUUGGUAGACACUAUCAAUGCCUUGGAGUACAUUGGAUCUAAAGGCAGCCUAGCCAUCUACCCACUGGAUUUGAAAGCUUACAGACAACUGUAGCUACUAACAUCAAUCAACAUUCCUUCCAAGCACUUGAAUUUGGUAGACACUAUCAAUGCCUUGGAGUACAUUGGAUCUAAAGGCAGCCUAGCCAUCUUCCCACUGGAUUUGAAAGCUUACAAUGAUCAGUCAAAUAAUUUAUCAUAACAACCUGAAUAAACCCACAUCAUGUAAGUAAUAUGAUAUCUCAAUUAGGGUGUGUGUGUGUAUGUGUGUGCCCGUGUAGCUGGUCUAUUUGCAAAUGAAACUGCUCCAAGAAAAUUUCAAUUAGAGCUAGGUGAUAGUGACAGAUUGCUACAUAUAUAUGUGAACCUGUAUUAUCAUACAGUCAUAUAUACUUGAGCUAGCUGAUAGUGACAGAUUACUACAUCUAUGUGAACCUUUAUUAUCCUACUCUGCUUCUCUUGAUCCUCUUUGCCUUGCUAUAAAGCUCAGUUUUGGAAACUUAACCCUGAACCUCCAAAACAUGUUUUCAUUUUCCAAAAAGGAAGUAAAUUUCUUUGGCAUGAUCAAGCCAAAUCAACCUUAUCCAUCUUGGUCCCUAGCUCAAAUGAUAUAAAGUUGAGGCAACUGACCUUUUCCACUUUACAAUCAGAUUACAGUCUGCAUAACCCUUGUCCAGGCAAAACUCAUACAGAUUAUUUGACAUAUCCUUCCUUCUUCUAUAGAAAAGAUCAUAAAUGUAAUGGCUUCUUGAAAUGCGGGAAAUUGGGUAGAGUGCUUCGCACUUUCUCUUCCUGUCAUGUGUAUCAUUUUCAGAUGUGCGUGCAGAUCAUAUUAGUACUCAUCCUGUAGUAUGAAAUAUCAAUCGACAAAUAGAACAUCUUUGUGACGGCGAAAUUAUAGGAAAUCAGUAUGAUUCUAUCUAUAUCAAUCGACCAGAAGGUACAGGUUACAGUAAGCAACCGAAGAAUAUAUAAAAUCCUAUCAAAACUCAUGCUCUUUUCAAAUUUCAGUUUCAAAAAGAUUACAGUAAGCAACCGAAGAAUAUAUAAAAUCCUAUCACAACUCAUGCUCUUUUCAAAUUUCAGUUUAAAAAAGAUCCUAAAACAUAACAAACAUGUCGCAAAAAGCCAUCAAAACAAGCCGAUCAAUCAAUUCAGAUCAAAUUCUACUGACACGUCCAUCUCCCUUGUUCAUCCAGAAGGAAGCAGAAAUAGGCGUCCUGACAGUCAGCGACACCAAGAUAACCACAGGCGGCAUGGCCGUCAGCCCGACACCAAGGUUCUGGCUCCCACGGUCGGUCAACUUGACUCUGCUACAGGACAGCCACAUGGGCAUCGCACUGACUCGAAGACCACAUGCAUGUGGAGCAUGAGCGUGGUGGUAGACUCCGACGACCACGAGUGCAGCAACUCCAGCGGCCAACAAACUUGUGUAUGUGCUAUUGUGCUAGGUCCUGUUGUUAAUAGAAGGAACUUGCAGCUUGCUAUGAAUGUGAGGAAAAAAUGGCAUUGUAGACAUGUGAUGUCCUGACUUGAUUGAACUGGAAACAGAAAAGAAAAAAUGGGAGGGAGAUGACCAAUUGUCGAGCUGAAUGUUGUGUGUACUUGUAUUAGUUAAAACUGACCCAUUCACUGUACGAUUUUAUCUUUGAAAGAUGGUUGGAAGAGAAAUCUUAUUUAUAUGUAAGUUAAUUCUGCAGAUGACAGGUCAUGGUUUCUUUACUUUGCACAUGAAUAUGUAGAUGGAUGGAAUUUGACAGCAUAACAUCAUCUAUAUAUUACAAAAUUUGAUAGGCCCAUGCAAUUUGACAGCAAUGUAUCAGAAAACUUGGUUAACCAAUGGUUUCUGCAACUCAAGUAAAUGGGGAAUGAGUGAUUUUCUGCAGUUCAAGAACAUGGCGAUUUAUGACCAGAUCGUGGGGAAUUAGGAAAAGAGAGGAGAUGAAUGGAUUACCUGAUGGUGAUGAAGUCCUCAUUCGUACGCCACCCCUGGCCUGGUUGGUGUACUUUCGCCCGACCGGCCGGCUCUGGAUCCCUCCGUCUGCAGCGCACGUCCUCUGUCGCUCGGCUCCGGCGAGCUCCUGCCUAGGACACCGCACCGCCCCUCCUUUCUUCCUUCUUCUCUCCCUCAUCUCCAUUCUUCUUUCUGCCCAGGAGCCGCGGAUGCCAUGGAUCUGCCAGGGAAACCACGCUCCGGCCUUCCUCAUCGUCACCGGCGACCCCUGCCUCGCCGCCCGCCUCCGAAUCGGCCUCCCCAGCCUCUGCCGCACACGGAUCCGGCCCCUGCAAGCUCCAGCCGCCGGCGUCGUUCCGCAUCGAGCAGCCGCCGCCGCCAGACGCCGGCGUCGUUCCGCGUCGAGCAGCCGCCGCCCCCAGUCACUCGUUAUGCACGGGUCUUUUUUGCAAUGUUUUCUCAGAGCCAGGAUCGCGGGUUCAAUACACCAAAAUGAAGGGUCUUUUUUGUAAAAACGAAACGUUUUCUCUGGUAGCCACUAAAACAGGGACUGCGGGUUGAUUUCAUGUAAACCGAGGGGCUGUUUUGCAAAACAACCACGACGGACGAACAGAAGCAAUCGCUGGUUUAUAUAUAUAUAUAUAUAUAUAUAUAUAUAUAUAUAUAUAUAUAUAUAUAUAAUAUAUAAUAUAUAUAUAUAUAUAUAUAUAUAGACACACACACUAAUAAAAAUGCCCGUGCGUUGCAACGGGAUAAAUAAUCCUCACAUGCCCCUAGCGACCCAUCCAUGUUGCCACUUCUCUUUGCCACCAUCGCUGAUGGUUCUAGGCGACCUAGGGCACAUGCACAGAGGCCGGAGGGGCUUGCCCUUUGCCCGACACUGCAGCGGGCGCUUUAGUCCCGUGCCUGGCAAACGAUGCCUUCUGGUGCACACAUUAAUCGGGAAGGAGCGGGUUGAUCGGGAAGGAGGGAGAGGGGGCUGGGCGGAAUGGUUUUAACACAUAAAGAAUAACAAAAACUGAAACCAAAACAGAUAUAUACUAUAUCAUUUUUCUUAUCUGUAUCAGUGGUACUAAUAUUGCUUUUCUCUUGUGAAAAAAAAUAUUGUUAGAACUUAAAAGUUUGAAACAUGUCUUUACAGUAUAAAAGUUUCAACACUCACCUUGUUUAAUGGGGAACAAUUUCUGACACAUUUUGUUCAAUUUGCAAAUUGAUUACCGGAAAGUACUACCUAAUAGUCUAAAACCGAAUGAAGAGAAGGAGCAAGGCAUGGAAAAUGUCCCUUAAUGUCAUCAUAUAUAAUGUUAUAGCAUUAAUUAAGGACCGUCUUAACAUAUAGGAGGUGUUGACCCCACUUGGUUUGAGGGAGCCACGGCCCAAAACGGACAUGAAGUCCCAGAAAUGAAAAACAAAGUUUCCCUGAAACAUCACAACAAACCAGCGACACAACAUCCAUGCAGUAUAAGUUUGCCUCGAUCUUUCACCUAACAAGCUAGCUAGGUGAUUGUAAUAAUUAAUUCAUACACAGACGCAUUAUAUAUCUUCCUGAUUAUCUAUCCUAAUACAGUUUGCUACAUAGUUGCAAAGAAUUCAGUACAUAGCAAGAUAGGUACACGCCUGCUGGAAAGUACCUAAAACUGAAAGAAGAAAAGCAGCGGGGAUGUAAGCAACAUGUUCCCUAAGCAGCGUCUCCACCUUACCCCGGCAAAGAAGAAUCCCUGGUCCUCUCAGUCUUUCAUUUGCCGUCCGGCUCCUUCUUCCCCAAGGUCACACCUGCAUCCAUUUUAUCUAUCAAUUUACAGAAAGUGGAACAUCCGUUUUAUCUAGUACCAAUUACAGAGAACGGAAGUAUGCUACUUUCGAACACUACCUGCAAGAACUCUUCCACAAUAUAGCCAUGAUCAGUACACCAAUCGAAAAUUGAAACUUAUUCAUACAUGUGUCAAUCUGUGAGACUCACAAAACAAAUCCUGUACAUGUAUACUGACACAUAAUUGGAUCAUCGAUUUCAUUAUUUCUACACAUGCAACUUCUAACAGGAUGGAAAUAAAAAGAACUACAUUUCCUAAGAACCUGUAACCUUCCACUAUUCUUGUGCCAAGAGCAAUCUUCAGUACCACUAAUUGUAAAACAAAAGCAAUCUAUAGGAUUUCCAAUUAUUGUUACCAAUCUAAAGUAACAAUUGCUUGAGGUCACGCACCAUAGUUAUCUUCCUUGGAGGAGGUUGGCAGCCUGCUCUAUUCGUUCAUGUUAUCUGCUUCCCCAUGUAAGAAGGGAUGCAGCCUUGUAAAACAAAUAAAAAUGGAUGUGAGAAUUGGUAAGCAGCGGUCACAGUUCAGAUCUGGAAAUUAAGAACGAGGAAAUGAAAGAAAAUGUCAAUUUUCAGAGCUCCAACAAAAUGAUGGGAAUUUACACACUCAACAUGAGCUUUUAUAGUGUUUUAAAGCAUUAAAUACUCUAAAAAUGCAAAUUCAUUUUGAAAAAAAAAAACAGCAGUCCUGAUUUCAAUUCGUUAAGAGAGAAAAGGUUCAGUUACAAUUAUAAAUAGAGAAGGAAACAAAUAUAAUGUAUAUUCUAACAGAGAAUGCCGCUGAACCACAAAAUAGAGGGAUCACUCCUUUCCUAAUAUAAUUUCCUCAAUCCCGGCCACCUGGUACCCAUUAGCAGCCGACCUCUGCAUAUAUGAGUUUGCAAACUUGUCACUCACUGUAGAAGUAAUAACACAAGAAACAGUUGUAGGAAAUGAAGCAUUGCUAGCCCCUGCAAUCAAAUUUGUCAACAUCUAUAGCCGAUAAAUACUCUGAUUUUCUCCGGGGGAUUAAAAUUUAGGUGGCAAAUAAUUUCAGAUUUGGGGAGAAACUCAUAGAUGAAUAUGUUGCAGUGAAGCCUGCUGUCUUGAAGCUCCUGCACCACAAAACAAAUAUCAGUGCACUGCUCUACUACUAAUCUAGAACAAAACAAAUCAAGGAAACUAUCAAGUUUUCUAAUAAAAAUCAAGAAAAAAACUCUGUUAUUUAUCUAGACAUAAAAAAUCUCAAGUCUCUCUGAUCUAUUCUGUGUUAUUCACUGCAGUACAAUUUAUUUACCAACAAAAUAAAGACCAAGAAGCAAUGAAUCUGGAGGUUCCUGACCUUGAUGCAGCAAAGGAGACACGGCUAUAUGUGGUUCUGCUCGGUAGCCCAUAAGUACAUCAUCAGAUCCUUUAUUGCUCCUGUACGUCAUCUCAUUGCAGACAAGUGUAGCUACUAACAUCAAUCAACAUUCCGUCCAAACACUUGAAUUUGGUAGACACUAUCAAUGCCUUGGAGUACAUUGGAUCUAAAGGAAGCCUAGCCAUCUGUUUACCCACUGGAUUUGACAGCUUACAAUGACCAGUCAAAUAAUUUCUCAUAAUAACCUGAAUAACCCACAUCAUGUAAGUAAUAUGAUAUCUCAAUUAGGGUGUAUGUGUGUGCCCGUGUAGCUGGUCUAUUUGCAAAUGAAACUGCUCCAAGAAAAUUUCAAUUAGAGCUAGCUGAUAGUGACAGAUUACUACAUAUAUGUGAACCUGUAUUAUCCUACAGUCAUACAUACUUGAGCUAGUCGAUAGAGACAUAUUACUACAUCUAUGUGAACCUUUAUUAUCCUACUCUGCUUCUGUUGAUCCUCUUUGCUUUGCUAUAAAGCUCAAAUUUGGAAACUUGACCCUGAACUAUUGUCAUGUGGGGCCUGAACUUCUAUCUCUGAACAUACUCCAGUCCUCUAGUUCUAGUUCUAAUUUACAGUUGGCUGUAAAAGGGAGAAAAAAUUAAAUCAGUUCUAGUUCUAGUUUUAGUUCUAAUUUUCAUGUGGGGCCUGAAUAGUACUGAAAGGUGAAAGCCAUGUCAUGCUAUUUACUGAAGAAUAGAGAAACCAAGAGUAGUACACACCAAGAUUAAAUCAGUAACCUUGUAUAAGCUGCUGGCAACGCAGCAGCAGCAACUCAUGCAAAAAUCAUAGGUAGACCAAGCUGUUCGCAUUGAUUUAUCCAGUGGAGACGUUGAUUGCAGAAUCGCAUCACCAAUAAUAUUAGUUGCUUCUAUGACAGGAAUAUGCUAGACCCAGCUAGCUCUAACAUAGUGAUCUGUUAUGUCGGGUUUAACCAAACACUGAAUUGCUAGAAUAAAUUUGUGAAAAUAUGCUUCUCUCGCCUACGUGGUUUGAGCAAUUUCAACAUCAUCAAUCUAGAGAGGAUAACAACAAUAGACCAGCGAUUGGGUGGAACAUGGAUCAACGACGGAUGAGAAAAAUGAACCAGCUCCAAGUGACCUGGUUAGGAUGGAUUCAAUAACUGACCAUGAAAGAAACAAAUUCAGAAAAUAAUACUGAUAAAAUGAAUGACGAAAACGAUGAGGAUCCCAGAUGUGACAAACAGAUGUGAUUCAAUAUGAAAAAUUAUAUAAAGCCUCUCGUGUUAGUUCCGGAACACAAUGUAACCUUAAACAUAAGUACAUGUAUAGUUCAACAUUGAUAGUUGAAGCAAGUCCAUAAACUUUGAGCCACAAAUAGUGUCCAAUAUUAAGAUUUUUUUACUGACUUACAAUAAAAGUCCAUGACAAGGAGGAUCUUCAGCAACACUCUUCAAUUCAUAUACUCUAAGAAUAAAGAACCAUCCUCUCCAUGGAAUCUAUCAAUUAAUCUACAUAUGGAUAUUUUCUCAAUCACCUAGCCAGUACAGAACAAAAAAAUAAAAACGUAGAUAAGAUCAGUACAAUUCCCCUCUUUGAUUUGGUGCCCUAGGACAAAAACCACCGUUUCCCAGACUGAUCUGAUGCGUCCUCCUACACGUACAUGAGUUGCUGGUCAACCUCCGCCUCUGGCUCAGUGUACUCACACAGGGGACAGGAGCCCGAGAAAGUCUGGCACGCCACUGUGAAUUGAGAUCGAAGGAGAAGAGGCCGUCCAUGAGGCUAACCAGAGAAUACCAUGGCGAGGUGAAUCGUGGGAGACGGGGGACAGGGGCGGGCCAAGAAGGAAGGAGGGACGAACCUGGGGCCGCCGGAGACGCGCCGGCGAAGCCCUGCCCGAAACCCUAGCCAUGGGGGGUCGGUCGCGAGCUGGCGGUAGAGGCCAGGAGAGGAGAAUCUGGAAGGAGGGGAGGGAGGAGCGGGCCGUGGGGAGCUAGUAGGCGUGCUGCGCGGCGCCAGAGCUCGCCGGAGAAGCAGGCGGCGGCGGCUUCGUGGGCGAGAGGGAGAGGAGGCGAGAGCCCGUGCUCCGUGUGUGGCCGCGGUGUGUAUUUUUUUCUUUACAUGCUCGGACCGCGGGUAGAAUACCCCAAAUCACAGGGUCUUUUUUGCAUGAACGAAACGUUUUCUCAGAUAGGCCACUUAAAAAAUAGGACUGCGGGUUGAAUACUAAAAAACAGAGGGACUUUUAUGUAAAAUUACCGACGGACGACCAGAAGCCAUAACUGGUUUAUUAUAUAUAUAUAUAUAUAUAUAUACUAGCAAAUAUGCCCGUGCGUUGCAACGAGAGAAAAACUAUCAAAUUAUGCAGGAGUGGUAGAUAAUGGCUAUUAAAAUGCCAAGGUGAGAUAAGGGCUUCUAAAAUGUCAAUUCAAAAACCAUGUCUAAGUGAUGUCAUGAUGAGAUAAGAGUCUUUUGAAAAGUCAUUUCAAAAAACAAAAAAUGUGAUGGUUUGACCAUGAUUUGAUUUCCUAAGGCGCAAACUGCAUUGAUGGACCCUGCCUAAGCUAGACUGAUGAAUGAUGUAUAUCAUCUUGACCUAACGUAGCAGUGGUUGUCAUAACAAUUACUGUGGUACCAGAAUAAACAUAGCUGUGUAUGGAGGCAAAAUAGACAUUUAGUUAUUUUUAUAUAGUUUACAAAAACUAACCCAUAGAAAGUUGUGUCAAUAUUUUUUGGGUUCAGCGUUGUAUGAAACAUGGAAGCCUUUUUUUACCCGAUGCGAAGGAUUAAAUAAAAUCAUAAAUCGACCUCUAGAGAUCCCUUAUUAAAACUUCUACGCAGGCGAUGUUUGAUUUUGUUCAUCAUUUACGGGCCUGUUUUAAUUUUGGAAACAUUUCAAAAAAAUCAUGUAUAUUUUUUUUCUAAUUCCAGAAUGUGUUUUGAAUACUGGAUUUUUUAAAUCAUGUUUUUUUUCAUGAACAUCUAUUUGAUAUUUUGAUUUAUUUUUCUAUGAUAUGCGAAUUUUUUUUUGAAAUCAUGAACAAUUUAGGAUUUCUCAAUAAAACUCGCAGCUUUUUGAAAUUUGGUUCUUUUAAAAAUCCCGAAUGAAUUUAAAGAAUGAAACAAAAGGAAUUAAAAAAGUAAAAAGCAAAAAACGAAAUAGAAAACAGGGCGCCACCAGCCACAUAUGGGCCGGCCCAUUAGCACUUGCAGGAGGAGGAGGCGCGGCAUGUACAUUUUUUUCUAGUUCAGACUAUGUUUGGAAUACUGGAUUAUUUUUAAAAAAACAUGAUUUUUUAUUUCUUGAACAUCGAUUUGAUAUUCUGAUUUUUUUUAUGGUAUGCAAACAAUAUUUUGAAAUCAUGAAUAUUUUAUGACUUAUCAAUAAANNNNNNNNNNNNNNNNNNNNNNNNNNNNNNNNNNNNNNNNNNNNNNNNNNNNNNNNNNNNNNNNNNNNNNNNNNNNNNNNNNNNNNNNNNNNNNNNNNNNNNNNNNNNNNNNNNNNNNNNNNNNNNNNNNNNNNNNNNNNNNNNNNNNNNNNNNNNNNNNNNNNNNNNNNNNNNNNNNNNNNNNNNNNNNNNNNNNNNNNNNNNNNNNNNNNNNNNNNNNNNNNNNNNNNUUAAAAAAACAUGAUUUUUUAUUUCAUGAACAUCUAUUUGAUAUUCCGAUUUUUUCUAUGAUAUGCAAACAAUAUUUUGAAAUCAUGAAUAUUUUAUGACUUCUCAAUAAAGCUCGCAACUUUUUGAAAUUUGAUUCUUUUCAAAAUCCAUAAUUAAUUUAAAGAAGAAAAAAUAAAAACAGAAAUAAGAAAGUAAAAAGCAAAAAAGAGAAUAGAAAACAGGGCCCACCACCAGCCAAUUAUGGGCCUGCCCAUUAGCGCCUGCAGGAGGAGGAGGCGCGCCAGGUACAUUUUUUUCUAGUUCCAGACUAUGUUUGGAAUACUGGAUUAUUUUUUUAAAAAACAUGGUUUUUUAUUUCAUGAACAUCUAUUUGAUAUUCCUUUUUUUCUAUGAUAUGCAAACAAUAUUUUGAAAACAUGAAUAUUUUUAUGACUUCUCAAUAAAUCUCUCAACUUUUCGAAAUUUGAUUCUUUUCAAAAUCCUGAACUAAUUUAAAGAAGAAUAAAUGAAACAGAAAUAAGAAAGUAAAAAGCAAAAAAGAGAAUAGAAAACAGGGCCCACCACCAGCCAAUUAUGGGCCGGCCUAUUAGCGCGUGCGGGUGGAAGACCUGCGCUUCCUACGGAGCCAAAAAGGAGGAAAAAGUGUAGGAACCAGGGAUCGAACGCUGGUCUCCCGCGUGCUAGGCGAAAGCCUUGGCCAUUGGGCUACCUGUGAUCUUAUGUUGUAUGAGUGUAUCAUCCUAUAAGAACUAAGUCGGCGGUGAUUUUGAAAUAAAUCCGAAUCAUUUUACAUAUGGAUGGCAUAGUGGGUAAUUUAUGCGAACUUCAAGGGCGAUUUCUAUGACGGACGACCAGAAACACUAUUUACUUUAUUAGUAGGUAAUUAUAUAUAUAUAUAUAUAUAUAUAUAUAUAUAUAUAUAUAUAUAUACACACUAGCAAAAGGGCCCGUGCGUUGCAACGGGAGAAAAAAAUUCAUAAUUUCAAAUGGUCAUGAUCACAUUUCGUUGCAUCACCGAGAUACAAUAUCUCUCUCAAUUUCUCGAAAUCAUGAACAUUUUGAAAUUAUGAACAAUUUGUUAAACUCAUGCACAUAUUUGAAAUCGCAAACAACAUACUAUUACAAAUUUCUGAACAUUUUCUACAAUCAAGAACAUUUUUUCAAUUUAUGAAUAUUUUUUGCUAUUUACAAACAUUUUUUAGAAAUUGUGAACAUUUUUAAGCAAUUUUCCUGAACUAGCAAACAUUCUAUAAUCGAUGAAAAUAUUUAGAAAUUGGGUGGAAUAGUUAUUGAAUUUGACGAACUUUUUUUGAUUUAGCGAACAUUUUUGGAAAUGCCGGUGCCUUGCAACGGAAAAAAACUAUCAAGUUAUACAUGUGUGGUAGAUAUAAAAAAGUAUGAAUCAAAUUCACAAAGUAUAUACAAAUCAUGUCAUGAUGCGAUAAGACACUUUUAAAAUGUAAUUUCAAAAAAGAACAAUAUGAUGCUCAUCAAGACUUGAUUUUUUAAGGCGUCACAACAAAAUAUUUUGUGGCUGAGCAAACUGCAUUGACGGACCCUGCCUGAGCUAUACUGAUAAAUAAAGUGUCUCGUCUGGACUUAGCGUAGCGGUGUUUACCAUAACCACUAUUGUGAUAUGAAAAUAAGCAUAACUGUGUAUGGAAGCAAAAUAGACAUUUAGUCAUUUUAAUAUAGCUUACAAAAACAAACCCUUAGAAAGUUAUGUCAAUUUUGUUGGGUUCAGCGUUGUACAAAACACGGAAACCCUUUUUUACCCAACGCGAAGGACUAAAUAAAAUCAUAAAACGAGCUAUAUAGAUCUCCUAAUAAAACCUUUAUGGAACCUACAAUUAGUUUUGUUCAUUAUUUACGGAUGUGUUUUAAUUUUUGUGAACAUUUUCUAAAAGCUGAUGGACAUGAUUUUUAAAUUCCUGAAUAUGCUUUGAAUAUUGGCUCAUUUAAAAAAAUCAUGAACAUUUUUUAUUUCAUGAAAUCAUUAGAAAUCGUGAUUUGUUUAUAAUUUGUGAGCAAUUUUUUAAGUCAUGAACAUUUUUUGAUUUUUAGAAUAUUUUUUAAAUUCACAAAUAGUUUACCAUUUUCCUACUUUUUUUCAGAACUCGCAAUUGUUUGAUAUUUUGGAAAUCCGAAAUUAAUUUUGAGAUAAAAAACCAAAACAGAAAUAAAAAAGUAAAAAGAAAUAAAAAAUAGGGGGCGCCAUCAAUCCGAAAUUUAUUUUUAGGGAAAAAACAAAAUAGAAAUAAAAAAAAGAUAUAGAAAACAGGGGGCGCCACGACCCGCACAUGGGCUGGCCCAUUACUGCGCUUGGUAAAAAGAAAGAGAAAAAGCGUGAGAACCAGGGAUCGAACCCUGGUCUCCUGUGUGGAGCAUCGUUGCCUUAGCCAUCGCGCUGCUCAUGCAUUGGUGCUAUUAUAUCGUAUCCACCUUUAAUAACAGAACCCUGGAGCGAUAUUAGAAAUUAAAAACAAAUCGUUUUUGCCACUUACGGGUGGCAUUGGUGGGUAAUUAUUGCCAACUUUAAGGGCAAUUUUAAUGACGGACGGGCAGAAGCGAUGCGUGCUUUAUUAGUAGGUAAAGAUAUACUAGCACAAAUGCCCGUGCGUUGCAACGGGAGAAAUAAACUCUGACACAUCCCUAGCGAGUCAUUUGUGUUCCAAUUCUCCUCUUAGUCAUCGAUGUCGAUGAUAGUAACUUGCCCACCUAUUGCAACAAAUGUGAUCAGUCCUAAGGUGGUGACCUUGGUCAUCACACUCACCAUGCCGAUUUCGCGAGCUCCUACCUGCACCAGCUUGUAAUUCCUCAUGCGUUGCAACCGUCACAUACAUAUUCGUGUCGUUCAAAACCUAUCAUGUUAUAACAUGUCAGGCGAUCCAUUUUUUUAUUGAGCGCGCGCACAACAAUAAUUAUUAAUGCAAAUUAAAUUAUGGUUUGAGGCCAUCAAUUUCUUGACUCAACAUAAACCAAAUAGACUUCAUUGUCGCCACUGUCCACCUUCUUCAUUUCUAACAUGAAGUUGGGCAUCUCUCCGGCAAAGAACUAUGUCGUGUCGUUUCAGCAUGGCCAUCGAACCAUAGUUUAAAAAACUAAAUAGGCAACCAAAUAGGUGAGGCUACCUGUUAAGGUUCUAACUGGUUGGCCUGUCGGUUCAUCUGUUCAUUCCUGUCAAAAAUGGAAAUAUUGAAGUUAUUAAGAAAUUACCAUAGAUCAAAUGAGUAUGCAUAAUAUUGGAUGUAAUCCAUUUAAAAAACAGAAAGCGUUGGUGGCCUAGAUGGUUGUUGGUCAUUUGGCGUUCAUUGGCUCAAGGUUAACUUAUGGAUCCCAAGUUGACGCACUAUUUUACGAAUAUUUUUCAGGUCAUAAAAAAUGGGCAAGGUGUAGGUUUCAAAUUUUUCUUUUGCACCUAUUUGAGGGGGUCCAAUUCAGGGUUUGGAUGUGUUCUGUGUAAACAAUACUCCCUCCAUCCGAAAAAGAUUGUCCUAAACUUGUCUUUCAAAUGGAUCCAUUUGAGGGACAACCUUUUCCGGACGGAGGGAGUAAUUCUUUACAAAUUAGAGGUCCAACUAAAGAAACAUUACCAGGAGAUUAAAAAGCUCCUCCAUGAGCCUGGUCUUUUUUUUUUGAUGUAUUAGCGUGUGCCCAUGCAUCUAAUCUAAUACAUCUGCCCAUGCAUGCAAUGGCACAACGGAAUCCUCUCUCACAUCUGCCCAUGCACCCAUAGAGCACAACGGAAUUCAUUUGCUCUGUUAAUUAAUAGCAAAAUUAUUAUUUCCUCUUUCAUUUUCCAGCGAAUUUAUUUCGUCUUUAAUUCCUUCCCUUCAUGCCUCAUCGUAUGCCCGUGUGUUGUAACAGGCGAAAAAAUUAACAAAACCUGCUUCAUGUGCCAUUACACGCUACUCAGAUCCAACUGUAAUAAACCUUGAGAUAAGGUUACCCUUGUCUAUCUAAGAUGCAUAAGAGCGUGCGUUGCCACGGGUUGCAUUAUCUUUUUUUCUUUGGAUCAUGAAGUGUUGAUGUGAAGAGGCCACCCCAAUGUCCCUAAUUGGCGCAUAUUUAAGCUCUACACUGCCAUCAAAUGGAAGAAUAGUGAUGCAUAAAAUAAUUUUUUAGGGAGGAACAUACAAUGUAAUUCAUUUAAAGGAUUGUCAAAAGAUUUGGAUUGAAUGAUUUUGAUUAUGUAGGUUUUCCUUUUUAUUGAAGAUUGUUUGAUUUUGUAAGAUUAUAUUUCAUUCAUAAUGUUUUUUUCGCUAUCUGGGCUUGACCCAAACGCAAGAGAAAAAUGAUGCUAUCUCCUGAUGGGUCUCUCCCAUACUCCCGUUCUAGAACAGAUAGAUGCAUUCCCUUGUCUCAAAAAAAUAAAUAAUGAUGCAUUCCCUAAAAGAAAGCACAGACAGUUUUUUUAGGGGUACUCCCAACUUUAUUAUUUGAACAACAUUGGGAAUGUCAUUCGCUAUAAAAUCUAAAAUGCAGUCCGGUGGUACAUCAGGCCAAACCAUCUCUAAAUCAUUGCUAACCUCAACUUUACCUAAAACAUGAGCAGCUAGAUUAGCUGUACGCCCUUUAUUUACCGAGCGCAAGUGACCUUGUAUCGUAGCAUCUUUUUGAUUUCUUCUAUAAAAGGUCCCAGUGCUGAGAGCAUCGUGCAUGUUGUCUUUUGCUUAGGAAAGGAUUAGAAAAUCCAGCCGACUGAUAAAAAUCGAGCGGACACGUAACCAUCAUGUGUACGCCUCUAGAGAGGCCCCUUAUCCAUCCGUCUCCACCUCCACCGCUAUGUGCUCUCUCGUUCUCUGUCGAUCCAUCCAUCUCUCUCUCUCUCAUUCCUAUCCACGCGAGAGCUUCCCCGGAGCGUACCGGCACCAGCGCCCCAUCUAUCUCCAGCCCCUCCCCGCCGACGGUGGCCACCACCAAUGCGUCGUGGCCAGCCCGUUGCGUGCGCCCCCCUCCCCUCCGCCGGGCUGUCAGCCAACGGAGUGUCCCCUGGUGACAGAUCAGAUCCGGGGCAGCUGUCGCUCCUUCCCUUCCCGUGACUCCGGCGCGAUGUGCCCCCCUCUGAUCUCCAUGGGGACCUAUGCCGCCCAAAUUCGCCUCACAUGCAUGUCAUUCCGGUGUGCUGGCGGCGCGACCCAGCGCUGUUGGGCUACUUUUCGUCUCCGCCAACAUCCGCGGUGCCGGNNNNNNNNNNNNNNNNNNNNNNNNNNNNNNNNNNNNNNNNNNNNNNNNNNNNNNNNNNNNNNNNNNNNNNNNNNNNNNNNNNNNNNNNNNNNNNNNNNNNNNNNNNNNNNNNNNNNNNNNNNNNNNNNNNNNNNNNNNNNNNNNNNNNNNNNNNNNNNNNNNNNNNNNNNNNNNNNNNNNNNNNNNNNNNCUGGAUGUGCCAAACCUCCACCAUCAGGUCAGAUCCAAUCUUUCUUUUUCCAUUCUUUCCGUUCUACGGUAAUUGGUCGAUAGGUCCCCUCGAGCUGAUUCUCCUUUAAUAAUUCCUUCCCUUGAUUGAUUUUGAGGCGGCUUGUUGAUUUCAGAUCGCCCACACACAUAUAUAUUGAUGAAAUAUGACUAAAGUAGCGAGGUGGUACUGUCUUUUUCUAAUAUGAAGUCGAAUCCUCUCUGAUUCGCAGGUGGAGAGUUUGAUCCCAAGCGGUGAUGAUUUUAUUUUUGCCUCCUCUGCCUCAGGCAGAGGAACGGAGAGUGGCGGCAAGGGCAGCCGCCGGCGCGAUGACGAGAACCCAGGGGUGGACACACGGGAGAUCGGGUGCUCGCGCGAAGCCUCCUGCAGCACGGUCGCCCACGAGCCCACCCGGAGCUGUCGCCCCCGCUGAAAUGUGCCGCCCCGCUGCCCGUGAAAUGCGCCGCCCCGCUGCACUGGAAAGGAAGCUGUCUGGAUAAAGAAAGGAUCGCGGGCUGAAUUCUUACGAACGUAGGGGCGUUUUUGUAAAAACGAAUCAUUUUUGCAGCUUCACUUAAACGGGGACCGCGGGUUGAAUUGUCAAAAACAGAAGUGCUUUUUUGCAAAAUUACAGACGACGUACGACCAGAAGCAAUAGGCGCUUUAUUAGUAGGGAAAAACUAGCAAAUAUGCCCGUGCGUUGCAACGGGAGAAAAACUAUCAAAUUAUGCAGGAGUGGUAGAUAAUGGCUUUUAAAAUGCCAAGGUGAGAUAAGGGCUUUUAAAAUGUCAUUUCAAAAACUAUGUUUAAGUGAUGUCAUGAUGAGAUAAGAGACUUUUGAAAAGUCAUUUCAAAAAAAAAGUGAUGGUUUGAACACGAUUUGAUUUCCUAAGACGCCACAACGAAUUAGUUUUGGCUGAGUAAACUGCAUUGAUGGACCCUGCCUAAGCUAGGCUGAUGAAUGAUGUAUAUAAUCUUGACCUAGCGUCGCGGUGGUUGUCAUAACAAUUACCAUGGUACCAGAAUAGACAUAGUUGUGUAUGGAGGCAAAAUAGACAUUUAGUCAUUUUUAUAUAGUUUACAAAAACUAACCCAUAGAAAGUUGUGUCAAUAUUUUUUGGCUUCAGCAUCGUACGAAACAUGGAAGCCUUUUUUUUACCCGAUGCGAGGGACUAAAUAAAAUCAUAAAUUGACCUCUACAGAUCCCCUAUUAAAACUUCUACACAGGUGAUGUUUCGUUUCGUUCAUCAUUUACGGGCCUGUUUUAAUUUUGGAAACAUUUCAAAAAAAUCAUGUAUAUUUUUUUCUAAUUCCAGAAUGUACUUUGAAUACUGGAUUUUUUAAAAAAAAUCAUGUUUUUUUCAUGAACAUCUAGUUGAUAUUGUGAUUUUUUUUCUAUGAUAUGCGAUUUUUCUUUGAAAUCAUGAACAAUUUAUGAUUUCUCAAUAAAACUCGCACCUUAUUGAAAUUUGGUUCUUUUGAAAAUCCAGAAUGAUUGUAAAGAAUGAAAAACAAAAACAGAAUUAAAAAGGUAAAAAGCAAAAAAAAAACGAACCCGCACAUGGGCCGGCCCAUUAGCGCGUCGAGGAGGAGGAGGCACGCCAUGUACAUUUUUUUUCUAAUUCCAGACUACUGGAUUAUUAUUUUAAAAUCAUGAUUUUUUUUUAUUUCAUGAACAUCUAUUUGAUAUUCCGAAUUUUUUUAUGAUAUGCAAACAAUAUUUUGAAAUCAUGAAUAUUUUAUUACUUCUCAAUAAAGCCCGCAGCUUUUCGAAAUUUUAUUCUUUUAAAAAUACUGAAUUAAUUUAAAUAAGAAAAAAAUAAAAACAGAAAUAAGGAAAUAAAAAGCAAAAAAAAAUAGAAAACAGGCCCACCCCCAGCCAACUAUGGGCCGGCCUAUUAGCGCGCGCGGGUGGAAGACCUGCGUGGCAAAAAGGGAGAAAAAGUUGUAGUCAACAGGGAUCGAACGCCGGUCUCCUAUGUGGUAGGCCGACGCCCCGGCCAUUGGGCUACCGGUGGGCUUGUGCAAUAUAAGUGUAUUGCUCUAUAAGAACUAAACCCGCGGUGAUUUUGAAAUAAAUCCGAAUCAUGUUACUUAUGGAUGGCAUGGCGGGUAAUUUAUGCCAAAUUCCAGUGCAAUUUCUAUGACGGACGACCAGAAGCACUAUUUGCUUUAUUAGUAGGUAAAGAUUAGGGAUAGGGAUUAGGGAUAGGGAUUAGGGAUUAGGGAUUAGGGAAUUAGGGAAUUAGGGAUUAGAGAUUAGGGAUAGGGAUUAGGGAUUAGGGAUUAGGGAUUAGGGAAGAGGGAAGAUAUAUAUAUAUACUAGAAGAACACCUGUGCAUUGCAAUGGGGCCACAUUAACUUUAAAAGUUCAAUAUUAAUAUUCUCAUAUAUAUCAAGUGACAUUGGCGACCUUUUUUAUCAUCAAUUCCUCACACACACUCUCUGCCUCCCUCUUCCUCACUCUCUCCCCCUCUCCCUCUCUCUCUCUCUCUCUAACACACACAUAUCCAUCUUAUUGGCUACGGGACCAUAAUCCAUCUAUUUCACACACACAAGCUAGUACAUAACAAUAUGGAUUAUGUGUAUUAUAUUUGCCACCACAACUGAGGGAAUUAAUUUCAUGUAAAUCGGCCAGCCACAGCUCCAAGAAUACGCGGAGGAGGUGGCCCGGGUCGGCGUCGGCGCCGUCCGUCACGGGCCACGGGCCCGCUUCCAAUCGCGUCUGCGCGUCGGCCACCCACGCCGUGUCCUUCAAGUGCCACUUCCACCACACCAACUCACAGGGUCACGGCCAUGGCCAGGGCCAGGGAAGCCGCCCUUCUUUGCCCCCUUCACCGGCCGCGGCCAACGCGGUGCCGCGGCACCCGGCCUCGCCGUCCUCGUCCUCCAGCACCGUCGCGACCCAAUGACGCAGCCCAAGCAUCGGCCUCGAGAAUCAAGAACGCUCGACAACGUAGAGGGAAGGAAAGAUCAUAUACAUGUCAUAAGAAAGGGAGUUUAUUUACUGCUCCCUCGAUGUAUUGUUUCCUUUGUUUGGAGAUUGAUUACCAUCCGUGAGUUAAGAUAAGGUUUACGUGAUUGAGCGAUUUUUUGAAAAUCAAUUAUUUGUUUUCUAAUUAAUGUAACUGAGUGAUUUAAGGUAAGGUUAAUUAAUUUAGAUUUGAUCUUUAGAGAUUGUUCGUGAUUGAUUCUACAUUACUAAAUAACUUGCGCUAGUAUGAAAAGUUCUGAUCUGUUUAGAUUUCUUUCGUUGCGUGAGAGGGUGACGCGAAAAUAAACCGAUGAAGUGAGGGGAGGGAACGAAAAAAAUCUACGAAAAAAAACCAGCGAAGGUGGGAGGAGGUACCAAAAAAAACCAUGGAAGGUGGGAGGAGACUACCAACUGUUUCAUUAGGAGUAGAAAUUAUUAGAGAUUAGAGAUUAUUUGUUUCCUGAAAAUCUAUUAUUUGUUUCCUAAAGCAAAUUGCAUUAAUGAGAGAGAUUUCGUAGAUUUGGUUAAGGUAGGAAAGAAUCUAUUAUUUGUUUGCUAAAGCAAAUUGCAUUAAUGGGAGGGAUCCGUUGAUUUGGCUAAGGUAGGAAAGAAUCUAUUAUUUGUUUGCUAAAGCAAAUUGCAUUAAUAGAAAAAAUCCGUUGAUUUGGCUAAGGUAGGAAAGAAUCCAUUAUUUGUUUCCUAAAGAAAAUUGCAUUAAUGAGAGAGAUUUGUUGAUUUGGCUAAGGUAGGCGGUUUUUGCGGUUCGUGGCGGCUUAGUGUGAGGUGAGACGAGGUACCAAAAAAAACAUGGGAGGUGGGACGAAAAAAACCUGGGAGGUGGGAGUUGUCCCUGGUUAACCUACGAAAUUUCGUAGAUUUUUUUAGGACAAAAAAAAACCGUGGAAGGUGGGACUAAAAAAACCUGGAAGCGAGACUACCAACUGCUCCCUUAGGAAUAGAGAUUUUUCUUAUGUGUAGGAAGAAAAAUAGCAAUGUUGGAUACACCAUUGAUAGGUAAUUGAAUUGCAGGUAGAAAGUAUACCAAUAAUUUUACAUAUACAUUUUGACCGAAGAAAAUUAUGCUUCCAAAAGGGUGGAAAUUUGUUUCCAACAACAAUCACUUGUACUUCCAAUGUGAACAAAAUCUGAAUCACGUGUGGCUACUACACAUAUGGUAUCCUUCAACCCGGCCAAAUGCAAGACCGCUGGAGCACAGCCGACGUAGCACGCAUGAGAGCAUCGCUACCACGCAGCCACAUUGAAAAGGGACCUCAUGAGUCUAUAGCAUGCAGCCCCAAUUACAGGCUUCAACGAGCAGAGCACGACCAUACCACUUCAAGCAGCAAUACAAAAUGUCUGACGAGGAGUAGCAGAGGAAACGAAGGUCUGCACACCGGCGAAAUUACAGUGCCACACCGGCCAGAUUGGGGAUGCAGCGCGACGAACGGAUCACAAGGAGCGUUGUGGGGGCAUGAAGCACACAUGCACAUGCUUAGCCAUCAAGGCGACAUGGUGUGUGCGUUCUUGCCGGAGGACUUGCUGGUCGAACGUAGAUGCGGUGGUGCGAUAAGAGCGAGGUUGAAGCGAGGAGGAUCCAGAUGGAAGGUGUGGCAGAGAGGGUGGCGAGGUAGUUGAUUAGGGUUUGAUGGUGGAUGUGAGGAUGAUUCGGAGGGGUUAUAUAGUACAGCCAGGUGUUGUUGGAUGCAUGGCUCCAAAAUGAUUGGUGAGAUGCUGGUCUGACGAAAGCCAUGUAUUAGACGUCUCACAGGAAUAGUUUUCCUUUAUAUUUAUAGCCUUAUCAUACCUGGAUUGAUUUAUUGUCAUAUAAUUACCAUAUUCGAAAUUUCCUGAGUUAUGACCUUACCAUACCUGGAUGGAUUUAUUACUAUAAUAAUCAUAUUUGAGAUUUCUGAGUUUAUAGCCUUACCAUACGUGGAUUAAUUGUGAUUGAUUACCAUAAAUACAUUGGGUGUUGCCGGUUAGACGAGAAAAGAGGAAAACCGGUGAGAGGGUGGUGGUGGGAGGUGGGACGAAGAAAAACCAGACGAAAAAAAGCCAGACGAAAAUAAAUCGUGGAGACUAUUCACCAACUCAGAUUUCCUUCUCUUUCGCUGAACUCGGGAAAUCCUUCCUGCAUGUGACGCACGGCCUUAACUGCCCUGCAAUCUCCACGAUUAUCUUCCCUACAUACACGUGAUUGUUUCCUUCUCAUUUGUUAACAGAUUGGCUAGCACCGUUAUAUAUCGGGAGCAAGAAAAUCGCCCGGGAUAUCGCUCCAUUUUAUUGAAUUGAUUGUGUCUGGUUACCUUAAGUUAAUUGAUUGCGUUUGGAAAGAAUUGAUUGUCAUGCAUGAUUGCGUUUGGAAAGAAUUGAUUGUCAUGCAUGAAUCAGGGACGUAAGGGGGGAAACGGAACCUGACUGCGUGCGGUGAAUGGGGUGGGGUAGGGGUGGGGAUGGUGUGAUGAAAAAAACCGGUUGAAAAAAAACCAUGGUAGGUAGGACGAAAAAAAACCUGGAAGCGAGACUACCAACUGCUCCAUUAGGAGUAGAGAUACUAGCAAAAGAGUCUGUGCGUUGCAACGGGAGAAAAAACUCAACACACACUCUUAACCGAACAACCAUCACUCAAGACCACAAUAGGUCCAUCUCCUUUAUUUUAGCGAUACAUCAUAUUUGUGUUGCCGCUUAUCCUUGUUCCCACCCUCGCCGGCGAUGGCCUUAGUGUUCACACAAACCAAAACGUGUUAGAAUGUGGUUAAUCCUAAGACGUCUCUUUCUCCCUCUGUCCUCCCUCUCCCUCUCUCUCGCUUUCUCUCACACUCGCGAUGAGAAAUCUGUUGUUUUCCCCUGUGACGUAUUCAGAGGUAUGCAUGUGUAGUUCUCGAUGUUUUCUUUUCCCUAUAUGAUUAUAGUGGGUGUUUAUUUGCAAUCCGGAUCGCCGUCUGUAUCAAAGAAAAAUGGAUCGUGCGCUAUAAUUAUAAGUUUCCUUUCAAAACAAUAUUUAAAAAAUAUUUAAUAGGUAAAAUUAACAUCACAUACAGAUUUCACGCAUUUUUCUAAUCAAAUUUCAUAUAUAACAUAUUAAAAGUCGGAUACGGUUUAAAAGAUGCGUAUAAUUUAGAAAACCAUUUGUUUGAAUUAAAUAUCUUUCAAAAUAAUAUUUAUAAAUACUUAACAGGUUAAAAUAAUCUUAUAUUCAUAUUCUACAUAUUUUUCUAAUCAAAAUUCAUAUAUAACAUGUUUAAAUCGGAGUUACAGUUUAAAAGAUAUGGAUGAUUUAGAAAAGCAUUUGUUUGUAUUAAAUAUGAUCCGCGAAUAGAAUACCUAAAAAGCCAAGGGGUUUUUUGAAAAACUAUAAAAUAACGGUUCGGAGUGACUUAAAUCUGGACUGCGGGUUGAUUUCAUGUAAACGCAGGGGCUUUUUUGCAAAUUGGCGCGACGGACAGGCAGAAACCCUGCGUAACUAGUAAUAGUAACUAGUAAUAGUAACUAGUAAAAAUGCCCGUGCGUUGCACCGGGUGAAAAAUAAAAGAAAUUAUUUUGUUUUUUCCACUCUAGAUUUUGCCAAAAAAAAUUAUGCCAGUCUAGAUUUUGACAUUUCAUUUUUUCACUCUUAUUUUUUGACAAUUAUCACAAUUGUCAUUAUGUGGCAAAAGCAAAAUAAUUUAUUUUAUUUUUGCCACUCAUAACUUUUGAUAAUUAUCACAGUUGUCAUUUCUAAUUAUCACAAUUGCCACUCAGAAAAUUUUGCUUUUGCUACGGGAAUGGCAAUUGUGAUAAUUGUCAAAAACUAAGAGUGGCAAAACUGAAAAUGUCAAAAUCUAGAGUGGCAUAAUGAAAAUUGGCAAAAUCUUGACUGGCAAAAUAAAAAUAAUUCCCGAAAAUAAAAUACAACCUGCUCCACGUGCCAUUAUGCAGCACUUUUUUAAUCCAAUUUUUGAAAUCCUCGGAAAUAAGGUUACACUUUGGACCAUGAAAUUUGGACGUACCCUAACAACGUUCGUCGUGACCUAUUUUAGCUCCGCACUUUCAUUUUGUCCUCGUGAGGGCAAAAUUUCUUCUCCUUAAGUAAUAAUUAUUAUUUUCUAAUAUUUCACUCACAUAUAUUUUAGUUACUAUUAUAUAAUGAUAAUUUAUUUGUGAUAUAUGGUCUGCAUGCCCAAUAAAUUACUAUUAUAUAAUGAUAAUUUAUUUAUGAUAUACGGUCGGCAUGCCCAAUAAACUAUGACGGUACCAAGAAAUCAUUAUCGAAGCUCACCGGAACAAAUUAUUUUGUAAAUUUUUAUGGGGAAAUUCUUUUAUAAUGCUAGCUCGUAGAGCAACAUCUAGCUGCUUCUAGUAAUGCACCACAACAUCUAGUAGUAGCAGCUCGUUAAAAAAAGCAGUAGGGACAGCACCGAUUCCCAGAAUUCAUCGUCUCACCGCCGAGUAGAUGCCCCUUCUCUUGUCCACACAUUGCUAUUCCUCCACAAGCCCACAUCACUUAGGCUCUGUUCGGUUUGCAGGAUCAGAAAACAUGGGAACAAAAAAAUGUAAAGGAAUAGGGAAAACAAGCACAUAUGAAACUGAGGAAUUUUAAACAGAGAAAUAGUCAGGAGUGAACCGUUCGGCGGUGAUCAAAAGAAGCUGCACAUCACCUCAGUUGUGACCCGUACCUUGGGUGUUUUUUAUUUGGCUGCAGACUUGACUCUCUCACACUCCAUGCCAUAUAAUGAAUAUUUUAUUGAAUUAGAUGUCAGAACCAGUGUGUUGCCUCGGCCAACCGCGAUAAACAAGAGGUCUGACUGGAUGUUUCUUUUCCCGUGAAAUCUGUAGGAAUCACACAGGAAUCGAGACAUUCCAAAGUUUUACUGCUCAUUUUUCCUUCACUCCGAACGCACCAAAGGUAGAAAAUAGCACAGGAUCAGAUUCCUUUGAGUUUUCCUCCGGACCGAACGCAGCCUUAGUGCUACUUCGCCUCCAUCUUCCUUCUUCUGCUACCUCAACACCCAGCUCUGCUCCUACUCUUCCUCAGCUCCCUCCUACUAACGCCUGGUCGUGCUCCACUCCCAGCUAUGACGGCCACAUGAGCUCCACCCGCACCAACACGAGACGACGAAGCUGACGUCCCGUGCUCCGUAUACCUUCGUCUGCUCAUGAUUCGACCUCCUAUUACUCCACAACGACACCAACCCAUACUCCCUUCCCCUCCACAGCCAAGCAACCGCUGCAUCAGGCACGGGUACGCAUGCCGACUGCCUGAUCUGGUAUGGAUGCGCGCGGUAGCUCCUCCCACCCCUGAUCUUUCCUUGGCAAGCUCACAUCUCCACCUGGUCCGCAACAGGAGACGCCGCGCUGGGUGUUGUAGCUACGGAGGUCAUCGAUUGGGCGAAGGACGCCCAGUGGCAGUGGGAAGUGACCCGAGGCGAGGUGGAGUCAGCAAGGCGGCAGAGGUUGGGCCAAAAAUCUCUUUUCUAUGUUCUCCGCGUACACAAAACUGAUUAUCUCCUUCUCGUAUCCUGCAGUGGCGAGAUUCGGGAUUGAUGGAUCCGACUCCCGACGCUGCGAGCCCGUGUUGCCCAGAUCUUGACGACGGCGAGCCGAGGUUGCCUACGGGCGGCGGGCGGCGCUCCCGUGGCGAGGAUGGCGGGGCCUGGUCGGAUCCGGGCGGAUCUGGCCGGGAUGGAUCUAUUUCUGGCGGAUUUGGCUUGGAGGCAGCCGGAUCUGGCGAGAUUGAGGGCCGAUGGCGCCAUGGUCCUCCUGGAGAUCCCUGCUCACCGAGAAAGAGAGACAGAGGUGAGAGGAGAUCAAGAUGAAGGAGGAGAUGGGCGAGGCGGCGGAGCGGCCAGAGCUCCGGCGGCGAGGCACGGUGGAGGUGUGGGGUCGCCGGCGAGGUGGCUUGCGGGUGCGAGGGGAGCUGGGCGAGGCGGCGGAGCAGCCGGAGCUCCGGCGGCGGGGCACGGUGGAGGUGUGGGGUCGCCGGCGAGGUGGCUUGCGGGUGCGAGGGGAGCUCUGGUAGGAGGAAGCUGCGGGAGGCGGAGCGGUCCAGUUCGGGCUGGAUUUCUAGGGUUAUUUAUGUAAAAGUGAAAGUUUUCUUAGAAUCCACUAAAGAAAAGACUACGGGUUCAAUUUUGAAAAAGUACAAGGACUUUUCUGCAAAAUCACCGACGACGUACGACCAGAAACGAUCGGUGCUUUAUUAGUAGGUAGAGAUAUAUAUAGCAAACAUGCCCGUGCGUUGCCACGGGAGAAAAAUCAUCCCUCGUACACAUAGCAACGACAUCAGCAUAUCCCUUGAAUCUUUUACGAUGACGCAUGACAAACAACAUAAUAAGUUGUAUUAUUGCAUAUAAAAACCUAAAAAUCGGAUGAUUUUUCAAGUGUACUCAAAGUGUUUCCAACUUAUUAGAUAAUGAAAAUAUCAACCUAGUUGUCGCUAUCUCUUUACAACUUUAUUGUAAUUACUCCUCGGUGAUGCCCAACAAAUAUUGAUGAAUAUUACUCAAUAUCUCUUUACAACUUUAUUGUAAUUACUUCUCGGUGAUGCCCAACAAAUAUUGAUGAAUAUUACUCAAUGUUAGCAUGUGCAUAAGAGCAUUAUUUUUAUCUUGCUGAUAUAUGUAUUUAGAACUGUAUCUAAGUCAAGAUCCUUAAUUUGUAGGAAUCAACAUCCUCUAUGAUGCCAAUAAUAGCUCUCAUGAGAGCGUCAGACUAUCAUAUCUACACAAUUUAAAUGGGGUAGGGGACAUAUGUUGUAGGCAUUUUUAAAAUACUCCAUAAAAAUCAUUUAACGUUGCAUUCCAAAUGUAAUUUUAGAAAUGGUUAACAUGCAGGAUAAUAGCAUAUUUCAAAUGUUCAAUUUUUUCUAAGAAAUGAUAAAUGACGCUUGGGCAAGACACCUAUAUCCUACGCCACCCUGUAUUUAAAAAAAAAGGAUGAGUAAAGCAAAAAAGGAGAGCAGGCGAGGAUCGAACCUGGAUCUCCCAGGUGGAAGAGAUGGCCUUUAGCCAACGUGUUACACAAGCACUAGUGAUAUAAUAUGAGACCUAUGCUUAAUGAAACCAACCAAUGGCCGAUGCAGCGACUCAAAAAAAUGAAUCAUUUUUUGACUUACCGGUGGCAUGGCGGGUAAAUAUUUACAACUUCAGGGGCAAUUUCAUGACGGACAACCAGAAACCCAAUUUUCUUUAUUAUUAGGUAAAGACUAGCAAAAGGUCCAUGCGUUGCAACGGGAGAAAAAAUUCAUAAUUUUCAAUGGUCAUGAUCACUUUUCGCUGCAUCACCGAGAUACAAUAUCUCUCUCAAUUUCCCAAAAUCAUGAACAUUUUAAAAUUAUGAACAAUUUGUUAAACUCAUGCACAUAUUUGAAAUCGCAAACAACAUACUAUUACAAAUUUCUGAACAUUUUCUACAAUCAAGAACAUUUUUUUAAUUUAUGAACAUUUUUUGCUAUUUACAAACAUUUUUUAAAAAUUGUGAACAUUUUUAAGCAAUUUUCCUGAACUGGCAAACAUUCUAUAAUCGAUGAACUUUUUUUAGAAAUUGGGUGGAAUAGUUAUUGAAUUUGACGAACUUUUUUUGAUUUAACGAACAUUUUUGGAAAUGCCCGUGCGUUGCAACGGGAAAAAAAAACUAUCAAGUUAUACAUGUGUGGUAGAUAUAAAAAAGUAUGAAUCAAAUUCACAAAGUAUAUACAAAUGAUGUCAUGAUGAGAUAAGACACUUUUAAAAUGUAAUUCCAAAAACAAACAAUAUGAUGCUCAUCAAGAUUUGAUUGUUUAAAGCGUCACAACAAAAUAUUUUGUGGCUAAGCAAACUGCAUUGACGGACCCUGCCUAAGCUAUACUGAUAAAUAAAGUGUCUCGCUUUGACUUAGCGUAUCGGUGUUUACCAUAACCACUAUUGUGAUACGAGAAUAAGCAUAACUGUGUUGGAAGCAAAAUAGACAUUUAGUCAUUUUAAUAUAGCUUACAAAAACUAACCCUUAGAAAGUUAUGUCAAUUUUGUUGGGUUCAGCGUUGUACAAAACACGAAAACCCUUUUUUACCCGACGCGAAGGACUAAAUAAAAUCAUAAAACGAGCUCUAUAGAUCUCCUAAUAAAACAUUUAUGAAAGCUACAAUUAGUUUUGUUCAAUUUACGAAUGUGUUUUAAUUUUUGUGAACAUUUUCUAAAAGCUGAUGGACAUGUUUUUUAAAUUCCUGAAUAUGCUUUGAAUAUUGGAUCAUUUUAAAAAAUCAUGAACAUUUUUUAUUUCAUGAAAAUUCAUUUGAAAUCGUGAUUUGUUUAUAAGAUGUGAGGAAUUUUUUAAGACAUGAACAUUUUAUGAUUCUUCGAGUAUUUUUUAAAUUCACAAACAGUUUACCAGUUUCCUACUUUUUUUCAAAACUCGCAACUGUUUGAUAUUUUGGAAAUCCGAAAUUAAUUUUGAUAUAAAAAACUAAAACAGAAAUAAAAAGGUAAAAAGAAAUAAAAAAAGGGGGCGCCACGAAUCCGAAAUUAAUUUUUAGAGAAAAAAACCAAAACAGAAAUAAAAAAAGAAAUACAAAACAGGGGGCGCCACGACCUGCACAUGGGCUGGCCCAUUACUGCGCUUAAGAUAGGUAAAAUGAAAGAGAAAAAAGCAUCGAGAACCAGGGAUCAAACCCUGGUCUCCUGUGUGGAGCGUCACAGCCUCAGCCAUCACGCUACUCAUCAAUUGUUGUUCUUAUAUCGUAUCAAUUAUUAAUAACAGAACCCGGGAGCGGUAUUUGAAAUUAAAAACGAAUCGUUUUUGCCACUUACGGGUGGCAUUGGUGGGUAAUUAUUGCCAACUUCGAGGGCAGUUUUUAUGACGUACGGGCAGAAACCCAAUUCUCUUUAUUAUUAGGUAAAGAUUAGCAAAAGAGCCCGUGCGUUGCAACGAGAAAGAAAACAUAACACACACUCUUAACUCAACAACCAUCACUCAAGACCACAAUAGGUCCAUCUUCUUUAUUUUUGUGAGGCAUCAUAUUUGUGUUGCCGCUUAUCCUCCUUCUCACCCUCGCCGACGAUGGCCUCGGUGUUCACACAAAAAAACGUGUGUUGAAUAUGGUUAAUCCUAAGGCGUCUCUCUCUCCCUCUCUCUCUUCCUCUCUCUCUCUCCAUCUCUUUCUCUCUCGCUCGCUUUCUCUCACUCUCGCGAUGAGAAAUCUGUUAUUUUCCCUUGCGACAUUUUUCAGAGGUAUGCACGUGUAGUUAUCGAUGUUUUCUUUUUCGUAUAUGGUUAUAGUGGAGUGUUUAUUUGCAAUCUGGAUCGCCGAAGGUAUGAAAAAACGGAUCUUGUGCUAUAAAUUAUAAGUUUGCUUCUAACAAUAUUUUAAAAAUAUUUAACAGGUAAAAUUAGAAUCAUAUUUAGAUUCCACACAUUUUUAGUAAAAUUUCAUAUAUAAUAUGUUAAAAUCGAACUUACGGUUUAAAAGAUACAGAUAAUUUAGAAAAUCAUUUGGUUUGACUCAAAUAUAUUCCAAAAUAAUAUUUAAAGAUACUUAAAAGGUAAAAAUAAUCUCAUAUUCAUAUUCUACAUAUUUUUCUAAUCAAAUUUCAUAUAUAACAUGUUCAAAUCGGAGUUACGGUUUAAAAGAUAUGGAUGAUUAUAAAAAGCAUUUGUUUGACUUAAAUAUGAUCCGCGGAUGAAUUACCUAAAACAUCAGGGGGGGUUUCGACAAAUGUAAAAUAACGGUUCAGAUGUUACUUAAAUCCGGACGGCGGGUUGAUUUCAAGAAAAGAUAGGGACUUUUGUGUAAAAUAUGAAAAUAACGAUUCGUUUUAACUUAAAACAGGACUGCCGGUUGAAUUCUCUAAAAUAGAGGGACUUUUCUGAAAAAUGGCAUGACGGACGAAAGAAACGCAAUUUGCGUUAUUAUUAGGUAAAGAUACAGGAAAUUUCAGAAAAUAACCAAAACUUCUAAAAAUCAUAUAAAUUAAUCUAUAACUCCAAAUGAAAUAAUUUAUAUAUGAAAAAUGAUCAGAAAAAUCAAAAAUCUUUCCAUAUGCAUUGGUUUCAUGCAUGUUAGAACACUUUAACCUUGCUGUUUAGGUGAAACAAGUUAAUGCACUAAUAUAACCUCUUAUUUUGGGUUUGCAUUUGAAUCCUUGAUUCAAAUGAACUCAAACCAAUCUGUUCUAAGUUGCAUUAGCCAAACACACUCAUUUUGCCAUGUCAUGAUCAUGCAUCAUAUUGUGCAUUGCAUUGAUUGUGUUCCCUCUCGUUUGCCGGUGAUUGUCCCCUCUCAGUAGACGACGUUCGACGAUGAGUUCGAUGACACCGAUGAAGAACUAUACUAUCUUCAGAAGUGCCAGGCAAGCAAAACCCCCUUGUGUUGGGGAACGUAGUAAUUUCAAAAAUUUCCUACGCACAGGCAAGAUCAUGGUGAUGGCAUAGCAACGAGAGGGGAGAGUAUUGUCCACGUACCCUCGUAGACCGUAAGCGGAAGCGUUAUGACAACGCGGUUGAUGUAGUCGUACGUCUUCACGAUCCGACCGAUCCAAGCACCGAACGUACGGCACCUCCGUGUUCUGCACACGUUCAGCUCGAUGACGAUCCCCGGACUCCGAUCCAGCAGGGUGUCGGGGAUGAGUUCCGUCAGCACGACGGCGUGGUGACGAUGAUGAUGUUCUACCAACGCAGGGCUUCGCCUAAGCACCGCUAUGAUAUGACCGAGAUGGAAUAUGGUGGAGGGGGGCACCGCACACGGCUAAAGAACGAUCACGAAGAUCAACUAUUCUCGGUCAAUAACCAAUAGCGGAACUUGGAUGUUCAUAUUGGCUCCUACAUAUUCUACGAAGAUCUUUAUCGGUCAAACCGCAUAACAACAUACGUUGUUCCCUUUGUCAUCGGUAUGUUGCUUGCCCGAGAUUCGAUCGUCGGUAUCUAAUACCUAGUUCAAUCUCGUUACCGGCAAGUCUCUUUACUCAUUCCGUAAUGCAUCAUUCCGUAACUAACUCAUUAGCUACAUUGCUUGCAAGGCUUAUAGUGAUGUGCAUUACCGAGAGGGCCCAGAGAUAACUCUCCGACAAUCGGAGUGACAAAACCUAAUCUCGAAAUACGCCAACCCAACAUGUACCUUUGGAGACACCUGUAGUACUCCUUUAUAAUCACCCAGUUACGUUGUGACGUUUGGUAGCACCCAAAGUGUUCCUCCGGUAAACGGGAGUUGCAUAAUCUCAUAGUUACAGGAACAUGUAUAAGUCAUGAAGAAAGCAAUAGCAACAUACUAAACGAUCAAGUGCUAGGCUAACGGAAUGGGUCAUGUCAAUCACAUCAUUCUCCUAAUGAUGUGAUCCCGUUAAUCAAAUGACAACUCUUUUGUCCAUGGCUAGGAAACAUAACCAUCUUUGAUAAACGAGCUAGUCAAGUAGAGGCAUACUAGUGACACUAUGUUUGUCUAUGCAUUCACACAUGUAUUAUGUUUCCGGUUAAUACAAUUCUAACAUGAAUAAUAAACAUUUAUCAUGAUAUAAGGAAAUAAAUAAUAACUUUAUUAUUGCCUCUAGGGUAUAUUUCCUUCAGUCUCCCACUUGCACUAGAGUCAAUAAUCUAGUUCACAUCGCCAUGUGAUUUAACACCAAUAUUCACAUCUGUAUGUGAUUAAUACCCAUAGUUCACAUCUUCAUGUGAUCAACACUCGAAGGGUAUACUAGAGUCAAUAAUCUAGCUCAUAUCGCUAUGUGAUUAACACCCAAAGAGUACAAAGGUAUGAUCAUGUUUUCUUCGUGAGAGAAAUUUAGUCAACGGGUCUGUCACAUUCAGAGCCGUAUGUAUUUUGCAAAUAUUCUAUGUCUACAAUAUGCUCGGGGCUACUCUAGCUAAUUGCUCCCACUUUCAAUAUGUAUCCAGAUUGAGACUUAGAGUCAUCUGGAUCGGUGUAAAAGCUUGCAUCGAUGUAACUCCUUACGACGAACUCUUUUAUCACCUCCAUAAUCGAGAAACAUCUCCUUAGUCCUCACUAAGGAUAUUCUUGACCGAUGUCCAGUGAUCUACUCUUAGAUCAAAAUUGCAUCCUUUGUAAAACCCAGAGCAAGGUAUACAAUACGUCUGGUACACAGCAUAGCAUACUUUAUAGAACCUAUGGCUGAGGCAUAGGGAAUGACUUUCAUUCUCUUUCUAUCUUCUGCCGUGGUCGGGCUUUGAGUCUUACUCAAUUUCACACCUUGUAACACAGGCAAGAAACUCUUUCUUUGACUGUUCCAUUUUGAACUACUUCAAAAUCUUGUCAAGGUGUGUACUCAUUGAAAAGAUCUUAUCAAGCGUCUUGAUCUAUCUAUAUAGAUCUUGAUGCUCAAUGUGUAAGUAGCUUUGCUGAGGUAUUUCUUUGAAAAAACUCCUUUCAGACACUCCUUUAUGCUUUGCAGAAUAAUUCUACAUUAUUUCCGAUCAACAAUAUGUCAUUUACAUAUACUUAUCAGAAAUGCUGUAGUGCUCCCACUCACUUUCUUGUAAAUACAGGCUUCACCAUAAGUCUGUACAAAACUAUAUGCUUUGAUCAACUUAUCAAAGCGUAUAUUCCUUCUCUGAGAUGCUUGCACCAGUCCAUAGAUGGAUCGCUGGAGCUUGCACAUUUUGUUAGCACCUUUAGGAUUGACAAAACCUUCUGGUUGCAUCAUAUACAACCCUUCUUUAAGAAAACCAUUAAGGAAUGUAGUUUUGACAUCCAUUUGCCAGAUUUCAUAAAAUGUGGCAAUUGCUAACAUGAUUCGGACAGACUUAAGCAUCGCUACAGUUGAGAAAAUCUCAUUGUAGUCAACACCUUGAACUUGUCAAAAACCUUUUUGCGACAAGUCGAGCUUUGUAGAUAGUAACACUACUAUCAACGUCCGUCUUCCUCUUGAAGAUCCAUUUAUUUCUUAUGGUUUGCCGAUCAUCGGGCAAGUCCACCAAAGUCCACACUUUGUUCUCAUACAUGGAUCCUAUCUCAGAUUUCAUGGCCUCCAGCCAUUUUGCGGAAUCUGGGCUCAUCAUCGCUUCCUCAUAGUUCGUAGGUUUAUCAUGGUCUAGUAACAUGAUUUUCAGAACAGGAUUACCGUACCACUCUGGUGCGGACCGUACUCUGGAAGACCUACGAGGUUCUGUAGUAACUUGAUCUGAAGUUUCAUGAUCAUCAUCAUUAGCUUCCUCACUAAUUGGUGUAGGAAUCACUGGAACUGAUUUCAGUGAUGAACUAUUUUCCAAUUAGAGGAGAAGGUACAGUUACCUCAUCAAGUUCAACUUUCCUCCCACUCACUUCUUUCGAGAGAAACUCCUUCUCUAGAAAGGAUCCAUUUUUAGCAACGAAUAUCUUGCCUUCGGAUCUGUGAUAGAAGGUGUACCCAACAAUUUUCUUUGGGUAUUCUAUGAAGACGCACUUCUCCGAUUUGGGUUUGAGCUUAUCAGGAUGAGACUUUUUCACAUAUAAGCAUCGCAACUCCAAACUUUAAGAAAUGACAGCUUAGGUUUACUGCUAAACCAUAGUUCAUACGAUGUCGUCUCAACGGAUUUAGAUGGUGCCCUAUUAAACGUGAAUGCAUCUGUCUCUAAUGCAUAACCCAAAAACAAUAGUGAUAAACCAGUAAGAGACAUCAUAGAUCGCACUAUAUCCAAUAAAGUGCGGUUACGAUGUUUAGACACACCAUAACGUUGUGGUGUUCCAGGUGGCGUGAGCUGUGAAACUAUUCCACAUUGUUUUAAUUGAAGACCAAACUCGUAACUCAAAUAUUCGUGUCCGCGAUCAGAUCGCAGAAACUUUAUUUUCUUGUUACGAUGAUUUUUCCACUUCACUCUGAAAUUCUUUGAACCUUUCAACUAUUUCAGACUUAUGUUUCAUCAAGUAGAUAUACCCAUAUCUGCUCAAAUCAUCUUGUGAAGGUCAGAAAAUAACGAUACUUGCCACGAGCAUCAAUACUCAUUGGAUCGCAUACAUCGGUAUGUAUUAUUUCCAAUAAGUCAGUAGCUUGUUCCAUUGUUCCAGAGAACGGAGUUUUAGUCAUCUUGCCCAAAAGGCACGGUUCACAAGCAUCAAAUGAUUCAUAACCAAGUGAUUCCAAAAAUCCAUCUUUAUGGAGUUUCUUCAUGCGCUUUACACCGAUAUGACCCAAACGGCAGUGCCACAAAUAAGUUGCACUAUCAUUAUUAACUUUGCAUCUUUUGGCAUCAAUAUUAUGAAUAUGUGUAUCACUACGAUCGAGAUCCAACAAACUAUUUUUAUUGGGUGUAUAACCAUCGAAGGUCUUAUUCAUGUAAACAGAAUAACAAUUAUUCUUUAACUUCAAAUGAAUAACCGUAUCGCAACAAACAUGAUCAAAUCAUAUUCAUGCUCAACGCAAACGCUAAAUAACAUUUAUUUAUGUUUAACACUAAUCUCGAAAAUAUAGGGAGUGUGUGAUGAUGAUCAUAUCAAUCUUGGAACUACUUCCAACACUCAUCAUCACUUUACCCUCAACUAGUCUCUGUUUAUUCUGUAACUCCUGUUUCGAGUCGCUAAUUUUUAGCAACCGAACAAGUAUCAAAUACUCAGGGGCUACUAUAAACACUAGUAAGGUACACAUCAAUAACCUGUAUAUCAAAUAUACCCUUGUUCACUUUGCCAUCCUUCUUAUCCACCAAAUAUUCUGGGUAUUUCCGUUUCCAGUGACCAUUUCCUUUGCAGUGUAAGCACUCAGUUUCAGGCUUUGGUUUAGCUUUGGGCUUCUUCGUGGGAGUGACAACUUGCUUGUCUUUCCACUUGAAGUUCCCUUUCUUUCCCUUUGCCCUUUUCUUGAAACUAGUGGUCUUGUCAAUCAUCAACACUUGAUGCUCUUUCUUGAUUUCUACCUUCGUUGAUUUCAACAUCACGAAGAGCUCGGGAAUCGUUUUCGUCAUCCCUUGCAUACUAUAGUUCAUCUCGAAGUUCUAGUAACUUAGUGAUGGUGACUAGAGAAUUCUGUCAAUCACUAUCUUAUCUGGAAGAUUAACUCCCACUUGAUUCAAGCGAUUGAAGUAUCCAGACAAUCUGAGCACAUGCUCACUAGUUGAGCGAUUCUCCUCCAUCUUUUAGCUAUAGAACUUGUUGGAUACUUCAUAUCUCUCAACUCGGGUAUUUGCUUGAAAUAUUAACUUCAAUUCCUGGAACAUCUCAUAUGGUCCAUGAUGUUCAAAAUAUCUUUGAAGUCCCGAUUCUAAGCCAUAAAGCAUGGUGCACAAAACUAUCAAUUAGUCAUCAUAUUGAGCUAGCCAAACUUUCAUAACGCCUGCAUCUGCUCCUGCAAUAGGUCUGUCACCUAGCGGUGCAGUAAGGACAUAAUUCUUCUGUGCAGCAAUGAGGAUAAACCUCAGAUCACGGGUCCAAUCCGCAUCAUUGCUACUAACAUUUUUCAAUACAGUUUUCUCUAGGAACAUAUCAAAAUAAACAUAUGAAAGCAACAACGCAAGCUAUUGAUCUUACAACAUAAUUUGCAAAAUACUACCAGGACUAAGUUCAUGAUAAAUUUAAGUUCAAUUAAUCAUAUUACUUAAGAACUCCCACUUAGACAGACAUCUCUCUAGUCAUCUAAGUGAUCACGUGAUCCAAAUCAACUAAACCAUAACCGAUCAUCACGUGAGAUGGAGUAAUUUUCAAUGGUGAACAUCACUAUGUUGAUCAUAUCUACUAUAUGAUUCACGCUCGACCUUUCGGUCUCCGUGCUCCGAGGCCAUAUCUGCAUAUGCUAGGCUCGUCAAGUUUAACCUGAGUAUUCCGCGUGUGCAAAACUGGCUUGCACCCGUUGUAGAUGGACGUAGAGCUUAUCACACCCGACCAUCACGUGGUGUCUGGGCACGACGAACUUUGGCAACGGUGCAUACUCAGGGAGAACACUUCUUGAUAAUUAGUGAGAGAUCAUCUUAAAAUGCUACCGUCAAUCAAAGCAAGAAUAAGAUGUAUAAUAGAUAAACAUCAUAUGCAAUCAAAAUAUGUGACAUGAUAUGGCCAUGAUCAUCUUGCGCCUUUGAUCUCCAUCUCCAAAGUACUGUCAUGAUCUCUAUCGUCACCGGCACGACACCAUGAUCUUCAUUAUCUUGAUCUAUAUCAAUGUGUCAUCACAUGGUCGUCUCGCCAACUAUUGCUCUUGCAACUAUUGCUAUCGCAUAGCGAUAAAGUAAAGCAAUUAUUUGGCACUUGCAUCUUUAUGCAACAAAGAGACAACCAUAGGGCUUCUACCAGUUGCCGAUAACUUCAACAAAACAUGAUCAUCUCAUACAACAACUUAUAUCUCAUCACGUCUUGACCAUAUCACAUCACAACAUGCCCUGCAAAAACAAGUUAGACGUCCUCUACUUUGUUGUUGCAAAUUUUACGUGGCUGCUACGGGCUGAGCAAGAACCGUUCUUACCUACGUAUCAAAACCACAACGAUAGUUCGUCAAGUUAGUGCUGUUUUAACCUUCACAAGGACCGGGCGUAGCCACACUCGGUUCAACUAAAGUUGGAGAAACUGACACCCGCUAGUCACCUGUGUGCAAAGCACGACGGUAAAACCAAUCUCGCGUAAGCGUACGCGUAAUGUCGGUCCGGUCCGCUUCAUCCAACAAUACCGCUGAACCAAAGUAUGACAUGCUGGUAAGCAGUAUGACUUGUAUCGCCCACAACUCACUUGUGUUCUACUCGUGCAUAUAACAUCAACGCAUAAAACCUGGCUCUGAUACCACUGUUGGGGAACAUAGUAAUUUCAAAAAAAUUCUACGCACAGGCAAGAUCAUGGUGAUGGCAUAGCAACGAGAGUGGAGAGUAUUGUCCACGUACCCUCGUAGACCGUAAGCGGAAGCGUUAUGACAACACGGUUGAUGUAGUCGUAUGUCUUCACGAUCCGACCGAUCCAAGCACCGAACGUAUGGCACCUCCGUGUUCUGCACACGUUCAGCUCGAUGACGAUCCCCGGACUCCGAUCCAGCAGGGUGUCGGGGAUGAGUUCCGUCAGCACGACAGCGUGGUGACGAUGAUGAUGUUCUACCGAUGCAGGGCUUCGCCUAAGCACCGCUAUGAUAUGACCGAGGUGGAAUAUGGUGGAGGGGGGGCACCGCACACGGCUAAGGAACGAUCACGAAGAUCAACUUGUGUGUCAUGGAGUGCCCCCCUGCCCCGGUAUAUAAAGGAGCAAGGGGAGGAGGGCCGACCAAGGAGGAGGAGGCGCGCCCUAGGGGGGGCAAUCCUACUCCAAGUAGGAUUCCCCCUCUUUCCAAGUCCUACUAGGAGAAGGGAAGGAAGGGGAGGAGAAGGAGAAGGAAGGAGAGGGAGGAGAAGAAGGAAAGGGGGGCCGGCCCCCUAGUCCAAUUUGGUUUGGGCUAGGGGGGCCGCGUGCCCUACCUCCUCUCUUCCACCACUUGGCCCAUGAGGCCCAUUGCUUCUUCCUCGUAUUCCCGUAACUCCCCGGUACCCCUGAAAAUACCCGGAUCACUUGGAACCUUUCCGAACUCCGAAUAUAGUCGUCCAAUAUAUCGAUCUUUAUGUCUCGACCAUUUAGAGACUCCUCGUCAUGUCCCCGAUCUCAUCCGGGACUCCGAACUCCUUCGGUACAUCAAAACUCAUAAACUCAUAAUAUAACUGUCAUCGUAACUUUAAGCGUGCGGACCCUACGGGUUCGAGAACUAUGUAGACAUGACCUAGAACUAUUCUCGGUCAAUAACCAAUAGCGGAACCUAGAUGUUCAUAUUGACUCCUACAUAUUCUACGAAGAUCUUUAUCGGUCAAACCGCAUAACAACAUACGUUGUUCCCUUUGUCAUCGGUAUGUUGCUUGCCCGAGAUUCGAUCAUCGGUAUCCAAUACCUAGUUCAAUCUCGUUACCGGCAAGUCUCUUUACUCGUUCCAUAAUGCAUCAUUCCGUAACUAACUCAUUAGCUACAUUGCUUGCAAGGCUUAUAGUGAUGUGCAUUACCGAGAGGGCCCAGAGAUACCUCUCCGACAAUCGGAGUGACAAAACCUAAUCUCGAAAUACGCCAACCCAACAUGUACCUUUGGAGACACCUGUAGUACUCCUUUAUAAUCACCCAGUUACGUUGUGACGUUUGGUAGCACCCAAAGUGUUCCUCCGGUAAACGGGAGUUGCAUAAUCUCAUAGUUACAGGAACAUGUAUAAGUCAUGAAGAAAGCAAUAGCAACAUACUAAACGAUCAAGUGCUAGGCUAACAGAAUGGGUCAUGUCAAUCACAUCAUUCUCCUAAUGAUGUGAUCCCGUUAAUCAAAUGACAACUCUUUUGUCCAUGGCUAGGAAACAUAACCAUCUUUGAUAAACGAGCUAGUCAAGUAGAGGCAUACUAGUGACACUAUGUUUGUCUAUGCAUUCACACAUGUAUUAUGUUUCCGGUUAAUACAAUUAUAGCAUGAAUAAUAAACAUUUAUCAUGAUAUAAGGAAAUAAAUAAUAACUUUAUUAUUGCCUCUAGGGUAUAUUUCCUUCACCUUGUUCAUUCCGAUACAAUCCCACUUUCUCGCUCCAGCUCUAUUUUACUGCAUUAGGACAACAACGAUACAACUGUUACUUGCUGCGAUAGUUGAACCCCUUUAUCCUCUGUAUGACCUAUCAUUGCCACAGUAAAUAGAUGAAACCCACUAGCAUGAGUAGGAGUUGUUUGAGCCCUGAUGUGCCUACUCAUUCAUGCUUGUUUGUCAUGCCUGCUAUUGCUUAGAGUUGUGUCAGGUCUGAUUCAUUGGGGAUGAAUUGGAGGUGUGUGAACAUGUCCUACUGUUGAGAGCUAAGUGUGUGAACACGAUUUGGUAAAGGUAGCGGUGAGAGGCCAUGUAGGAGUACAUGGUGGGUUGUCUCAUUGAAGCCGUCCUUAGGAACUGAGUUAUGUGUUUGUGAUCCAUGAACAGCUACUACCACACAUUGGGAUCCUUAAUUGACUCUCUCGACUUAUUAACCGACUCGAUCUCUAUCUAGGAGUUGCAACUAGUUUCUGGUGUUUGUAGGUAGUGUUAGUAGUCUACCAAGUGGCACCCGGUACAGGUGGGCUUGGGACAGACUAGGCACAGUGGCCUGGUGUACCAAGUGGCACCCGGAUGGUGGGCUUGGGAACCCUGCACACAUUGUUUGGGGCCGUGAGCGACACCCCGGCCGGAUCUACUUGCGCAUGGAACCCGAAUAGGCGAUAAACCUGGAUGAGAGACUUGUGUGGUUAGUGAGGUCGUGGCCGACACCCUCGCCAGGCUUCUGCUUGAAGGUUGUCGAGAUACAUGACGUGUACAUGGCGGUAAGUGGCGAGAGCGCGUGUGAAGAAGUACACCCCUGCAGGGUUAAUAUGAUCUAUUCGAAUAGCCGUGUCCGCGGUAAAGGACUUCUGGGUUGCCUGUACAGUUCAUAGACAAGUGAAAGUGGAUACUCUAAAAUACGCAAGAUAAGCGUGAGUGAUAUGGAUGGCGUUCUCGUAGGGAGACGGGAGCGGAUCCAUAGUGGUGUAUUGAUAUGGUGAAUAUGUGGACUCGUGUGUGCCACCUCAAAAGAGUUACUUGCAGUCAUAGUUUAGGAUAGCCACUGAGUCAAAGCUGGCUUGCUGCAGUUAAACCCCACCAUCCCCUUUGUUGAUAAUGAUGCAUAUGUAGUUAGUUCUGAUGUAAGUCUUGUUGGGUACAUUUGUACUCACGUUUGCCUAUUUUAUGUUUUUGCAGAGAGACUUCAGUCUCACUAGUAGUUCCGCAUGAACUUCGAUGUUUAGCUUGUUACCUCAGCUACGAUCUUGUGCCCUCGGCAGGAUCUGGUAGUUAGUCAGGCUUUGUCGGUGUCAAAACCGGCGGAUCUCGGGUAGGGGGUCCCGAACUGUGCGUCUAGGCGGAUGGUAACAGGAGACAAGGGACGCGAUGUUUUUACCCAGGUUCGGGCCCUCUCGAUGGAGGUAAAACCCUACUCCUGCUUGAUUGAUAUUGAUGAUAUGGGUAGUACAAGAGUGGAUCUACCACGAGAUCAAGGAGGCUAAACCCUAGAAGCUAGCCUAUGGUAUGAUUGUUGUAAUGGUUGUUCGUCCUACGGACUAAAACCCUCCGGUUUAUAUAGACACCAGAGAGGGCUAGGGUUACACAGAGUCGGUUACAGUGGUAGGAGAUCUACAUAUCCGUAUUGCCUAUCUUGCCUUCCACGCCAAGGAAAGUCCCAUCCGGACACGGGACGAAGUCUUCAAUCUUGUAUCUUCGUGUUCUUGGAGUCCGGCCAAUGAUGAUAGUCCGGCUAUCCGGACACCCCCUAGUCCAGGACUCCCUCAGUAGCCCCCGAACCAGGCUUCAAUGACGACGAGUCCAGCGCGUAUAUUGUCUUCGGCGUUGCAAGGCGGGUUCUCCUCCAAAUUCCAUGUGCUUGCCAAAUAGUGUCCGGCUUCCUUACAAAUGUUGCGCUCCUUGGCUUCCAUGCCCAAUAAUGGCCCUCUUCCACGUGUCGCACGAAUGCAAAGGCCAGGGUAUUUUUAUAUUUUACCCCCUAGCUGCGCAAAUAAUCUGCCUAUAAGAGAGGCAAGAAUCCAGAUCCAAAUCACACCAUCUUCCUUCCGCGAGUACUCAUCAGAGCGCUUCUGACCAAAAAUCCAUUCUAUCAUGGACCGUCGACGCGGCUCCUCCUCUCGCGCUCCCAGCCCUCCGCCAGGAGAUUGGAGGAGAUGUUCAGUUCCGCACAACGAGCUGGUGACGCUCCAAGCAGAGGGAUAUCUUCCUCCGGCCUUUAUGGUCCCGGUUCGAGCCGGGCUGGCCACCUACAAAGGUGGAAAGCAAGCGGAGGCCACCCCUAGUCCCUCCAAAGGGGAGCGGGUGUGCUUCGUCCCUUAUCUAAUAAGGGGGCUCGGAUUUCGCAUACAUCCGUUUCUCCGGGGGCUCCUGGAGUUCUACGGACUCCAGCUUCAUCACCUCACGCCCGCCUCUAUUCUGCACAUCGCGGGUUUCGUAGCUCUUUGCGAGCUGUUCCUGGGCAUCGAGCCCCAUUUUGCGCUGUGGAAGAGACUAUUUUGCCUCGUACCCCGUUCUCACGAGGGGUCAAUAUAUCAAGUGGGCAGAGCCAAAAUAUGGCGCAUCGUCGGGACCGGAUAUCUAUCCGGAACCCCAAAGAAGGCGUCCGAAGACUGGCCCUCGGAAUGGUUUUAUGUAGAAGAUGCUCCACUGCCGGACCCAGUUCGGAUCGGCCUCCCGGAAUUCAGCAAGGAUCCUCUGAAGAAACGCCUAAGUUGGCGCCCGCGGAGCCCUCAACAGGAGGAAGACAGGAGCGUCCAUUAUUUGAUGGGCCAGAUUAGGUUGCUGGCCCAUUCCGGAUUGACCAUGAUCGGAGUCAUGGCCAUGUGCAUCAUGCGAGGGGUGCAGCCGCUCCAAUAUAGGGGCCACCCCAUGUGGGAUUUCAACGGGGAGAAUGACGCCACCCGUCACGGCCGUAAGGGGCCGGGAUCGGUCGCGGAUCCGGUGAAGAUCCUGUCCGGCCUGUACAAGGGGGAGAAGGAGGACUUCCUCCAAACGAGCCCAUUGAACGGGUUCUCCAUGAAUAACCCUCGGAGUUGGGUAAGCGGACGUUUAUUCAUCCGACCCGUGCUUUCAAAGUUAAGUUCCUUACUUUAUGAUUUUGACGUAGGAACUGCGUCGAGAUGUGGAGGGCAUACACAGUCCGGCUCCACAACCCGAGGAUCCGGGAAGAUCCCUUGACCCGGCCUCCGAAGAGGACCCGGACAUAAAGGUGGAGCUAAUUGAUGGGGUGUUCUACCAACUCAGCAUGGACAAUGCUCUAGUCGCCAUUACGGCUGACUACCCUGGCUUAUCUCCGGCCUCCCAGGUAAUUAUGGCCGGGGCCCUGACACCAUUACUUCGUCCUUGCGUAUUUCUGACCACCCUAUACCACGGUGUCCUGCAGGAGGUGCCUUCAAGGUGGGAAGCCAAACCCGCGGCGGCUGACUAACAAGGGUCAGUCCGGCCCAGCAGGCGGAAGAGGGGUGCAGUGCGAAUCGAAGCGUUGCCGCAACGGUAUAGCUCGCGACCGUUAUUUAGGGAAAAGAUUCCUAGGAGGUGUAUUAAUGCUCAUGACUUUCGCAGGAGGAAGAGCGCUCGCUGGACUGUGCCCGGAGAAGUUGCCAACCAAGCCUCCGCCAGCCAGGCUCCACCACCUGGUCCGGAGGGGGAGGCGAGCGCAAGGCGCGAGCCGGGUACUCCUCCAACGGAGGAUGCCGACAGGCUGUCCGCCACCAGGUCUGAGGUGGAGAGCGCCAUGAAUCAUAGGCGCCACCGGACAGUGCUGCGUGACGCGUGUUUCUCCCCAGAGGCGUUGAAUGCCUUUAACACGGGAGACGCGCACCUCCGUGCCGCUCAAGAUGGUUUAACCAGAGCCACGGAGCAGUAUGUAAAAGACAUACGGGUAAGAGAUUUUAAUAGUUGUAUAUGCCAGUAGCCCCCGAGACUUAAAGUAGUUAAAAUAACUAAUUUAAGGCUCAUUUAAUAUGCAGGAUCUAACGGAGGAGAAUACUCAAUUGUCCCAGGAACUACAAGAGUGCAAAGCCCAACUUGAGGCCGCACUAGCUGCCGCAGGAGGAGACACAAAGACCCCCUCCAGUAACACAUUAUUUCAAAAAGAUAAGCGGUGUGCGGCGUGCAUAUAAGUCUGACAGUGAUAUCGCAGAUGUUGCCGGACUGGAUCCGGACAAGCAACAGCUACUGCGCCAGCUGAAAGCCGGCGAGAGGGUGCUUAUGAAGGUGCAGCAGGAGAGGAACAAACUCCAAGAUGCCCACACCUAGCUUGGAGAAGAGCUAAAAGGUGUUCGGGCCCAGCUGUCUGGCUCCGUGAAGGAGAAUCAGCGGCUUCAUCGCGGCAUCUAUAGUAAAUGCUUGAGCAAACUCCUUUGAAAAGAAGAGUUCGGCGAGGAAGUCAAUUGACAGAAAUAUGUCUGUAGGUGUGCUCACAAGUCGCCCUGCGGAGGAAAUGCCCGGUUCAACGGGUGACCAACUUCCUGAGCUGGUGCAACUGCUCGAACAUGUUCAGCAGGCGAUGAGUGGCGUCAUCCAGGCCUUAUGGCCGUCCUUCUCCCUACCCGAGGGCCUUGGAGAGCUUGCGGAGAAGCUUCAGGGAGCACGGCAGCGCUUCCAUUUGUGGAAGAUAUCGGCCUGCCGUCAAGGUGCCAGGAAGGCCUGGGCCAUGGUGAAGACGCAGUACAAGAAGGCGAAUCCAAACCACAUGGCUGAGGUCGGACCUGUGGGGCCCGAUGGGAAGGAGAUCCCUGUGAGCUUAGUGUACGGCCAAGUAGAGUUGGCCGCUAAGUAUUCCCAACGGGACUGUAAAUUAGACAGCCUGUUAAGCAGGAUUGAGGAGGAGUACAGUCAGUCGAUUUGACGACGUAUUUAAAAUGACAUGUAAAAUGCCUUCUAGCCGGAUUGUAGAUUGUUUGUCUUUGCCGACCUUUUCGCUUCAACCUCGGGACCCUAGAGUCCGGAGUGUGUCCGAAUACCUUCUCGGUUAUGAAAAAACCGGGGCAUGCAUGGAGACCAGGCGUAGGGGUCAUUAGUGCUUUAUCAGACAAGUGCCCAACUAGUUAUGUUAUAUUACAUGGUUAGUAAGAAACAUCUUCCAGGGAGAAUAGUUCCGUUAGGGGUUCCUUUCCCUGGGAGGCAUGCCCUAAAGUGCAUGUCCGGACUACCAAAAGAGCAGUAAAACAUCUGGGGGCAGAUAAAUAAAUAGGUAAAGAAUCAUCUUUCAAGUCACCGACCGAAUAUUCCCUUAAGAACGCUAGCUUUCGGCUUCACCCAGUCUGAGGUACACAUCCGCCUGAUCCAGCAGUAACAAUCGCAGAGGUGCUCCCUUUACCUCCUAGCCGAACAAUCGGGAAUGUAGGGGUAAGCACAGGAGCCAGGCAACCCAGCUUGGCCAAAACUUAAGUCAUAUCGAUGCAUAUAAUGGUGAAUAAAAGGUACAUGCGGAAGUUUGACACAUGUGUUGGGCAUGAAGCCCGUAUAAGUAAGCUUCUGUUAAAGAAGCCCCCAGGUAUAAUGAGUGCGGGUAGCACAUCAAGUGUGUGCGAACAAUGCGCAAAUAGGCCCUCAAGGGAUUUUAUGAAAAAGGUGGGAGAAAAGAGAGAAACAAAAGACAGCUGAAGUGUAAAAAUGUGGACGGAGGAAGGAGACGAACUCUGGGUCCGGCGCUAGGCGUAGAAUCUUCGGAGGCGGGCUGCGUUCCAUGGGUUUGGCUCGAGUCGGUUGUCCGAUGCAUUUCGCAGAUGGUAUGCUCCGCCGGUCAGGACUUGGUCGAUGAUGAAGGGACCUUCCCAUUUGGGCUUGAGUUUGUCCUUUUUCUUGUCCGGCAGGCGUAGAACUAGUUCGCCAACAUUGUAAGUUUUAGCCCGUACUUCUCUGCUUUGAUAUCUUCGAGCCUGCUGCUGAUAGAAUGCGGAACGAGCCUUUGCCACGUCGCGUUCCUCCUCCAAUGCGUCCAAGCUGUCCUGCCGAUCCAACUCGGCUUCUCUUUCUUCGUACAUGCGCACUCGAGGUGAGUCAUGAAUUAUGUCGCAGGGCAAAACUGCCUCUGUGCCGUAUACCAUAAAGAAUGGUGUGAACCCGGUAGUACGGUUUGGCGUGGUCCGCAGCCCCCAGAGUACGGAGUCGAGCUCCUCUACCCAGUGCAUGUUAGAUUCCGUAAGGGACCGCACUAAUCUGGGUUUGAUGCCGCUCAUGAUUAGACCAUUUGCUCGUUCAACUUGACCGUUGGUUUGAGGGUGAUAGACUGAAGCGUAGUCGAGCUUAAUGCCCAUAUUUUUGCACCAGAGUUUAACCUCGUAGGCCGUGAAGUUCGUGCCGUUAUCGGUGAUGAUGCUGUGGGGGACACCGUAACAGUGUACUACCCCGGAUAUGAAGUCUAUCACGGGUCCGGAUUCGGCUGUUUUAACUGGCUUGGCCUCUAUCCAUUUGGUGAAUUUGUCCACCAUGACCAAUAGGUAUUUUUGCUUGUGGGUUCCCCUUUUAAGGGGUCCAACCAUGUCAAGCCCCCAGACCGCAAACGGCCAGGUGAUGGGUAUAGUUUUGAGGGCGGUGGGUGGCAUGUGGCUCUGAUUAGCAAAGAGCUGACAACCGACGCAUCGUUGGACUAAGUCCUGAGCAUCUGCCCGGGCCGUUGGCCAAUAAAAUCCUGUACGGAAGGCCUUACCUACAAGGGCCCGGGCUGCAGCGUGGUGUCCGCCUAGUCCGGCGUGAAUUUCAGCUAGAAGAUUCCGCCCUUCCUCUUCGGAGAUACACCUUUGAAGGACUCCGGUUGUGCUUUUCUUAUAAAGUUCCCCCUCAUGAACCUUGUAGGCUUUAGAUCACCGAACUAUGCAGCGGGCCUCAUUUUGGUCUUUGGGAAGUUCCUGCCUAAUUAAGUAGGCUAGGAAUGGUUCCGUCCACGGGGCAAUGACUGCCAUUAUUUCGUGGGCGGGAGGUGUUAUGUCACUGGCUGAGCCACCGGUUGUGUCAGAAUGUUCGGUGUUGGGCGGUGUGGUUGGUUCCGGAUUGUUGUUUCUGGACUCCUCUUCCCAUACAACGGAUGGCUUAAAGAGCCGCUCCAGGAAGAUGUUUGGAGGGACGGCGUUGCGUUUUGCACCGAUGCGUGCCAGCACGUCGGCCGCCUGGUUAUUAUCCUGGGCUACAUGGUGGAAUUCGAGUCCUUCGAACCGAGCUGACAUUUUUAAGACAUCGUUACGGUAGGCUGCCAUUUUUGGAUCUUUGGCAUCGAAGUCUCCGUUUACUUGUGAUAUUGCGAGGUUUGAAUCCCCGCGUACCUGAGGCAUUGAAUGCCCAUGGAGAUUGCCAUCCGGAGGCCGUGCAGAAGGGCCUCGUAUUCGGCUGCGUUGUUGGAGUCUGUGUACAUUAUUUGAAGUAUGUAUUGGACUGUGUCUCCGGUUGGGGACAUCAAAACAAGGCAGCCCCCAAGCCGGCCAACAUUUUAGAGCCGUCAAAAUGCAUGAUCCAAUUGGAGUAUGCACCAUACUCUUUAGGGAGUUCGGCUUCAGUCCAUUCAGCGACGAAGUCAGCCAGGACUUGCGACUUUAUAGCUCGCCGUGGUUUGUAGGUUAUGUCAAAUGGUAAGAGAUCAAUGGCCCAUUUUGCAAUCCUGCCCGUCGCGUCGCGGUUUGUUUAUGAUGUCGUUGAGGGGUACUUCGGAGGCCACUGUUAUCGAACACUCUUGAAAGUAGUGUUGCAGCUUCCGGGAUGCCAUGAACACCGCGUAUGCUAUCUUUUGAUAAUGCGGGUACCGGGACUUGCAGGGAGUUAAGACAGUGGAUACGUAGUACACUGGUUUUUGAAGAGGGAAUUUAUGCCCUUCUGUUUCUCGUUCGACGACGAGCACCGCGCUUACUACUUGAUGUGUUGCCGCGAUAUAUAACAACAUUGGUUUGCCCAGGUUAGGCGCGGCCAGGACCGGAUUUGUUGCGAAUAUGGCUUUUAUUUCUUCGAGUCCGGCAGUGGCAGCAUUUGUCCAUUCGAAGUGUUCGGUGCGCCUGAGGAGGCGAUAGAGGGGUAAUGCCUUUUCUCCCAAACGGGAGAUGAAGAGGCUUAGAGCCGCCACGCAUCCAGUCAAUUUUUGUAUUUGUUUGAGGUCUUUUGGAAUAUCCAGCUGUGACAGAGCUUGGAUCUUGGCUGGAUUUGCUUCAAUUCCUCUACCAGAUACAAUGAAGCCCAGGAGCUUUCCGGCUGGUACGCCGAAAACGCAUUUUUCCGGGUUCAGCUUAAUAUCAUAUGCUCGGAGGUUGUCGAAUGUGAGCCUCAAAUCGUCUACUAGAGUUUCGACGUGUUUGGUUUGACGACCACAUCGUCUACGUAUGCCUCUACUGUUUUGCCGAUCUGGGUAGCCAGACAUGUCUGAAUCAUGCGCUGAUAUGUUGCGCCGGCGUUUUUGAGUCCGAAGGGCAUCGUGUUGAAGCAGAAUGGUCCGUAUGGAGUAAUGAAUGCCGUUGCGGCUUGGUCCGCCUCCGCCAUCUUGAUUUGAUGGUAGCCGGAGUAUGCGUCGAGGAAGCACAACGAAUCGUGCCCUGCAGUAGCAUCGAUUAUCUGAUCGAUGCGGGGAAGGGGGAAAGGAUCCUUUAGGUAAGCCUUGUUGAGGUCUUUAAAAUCGACACAUAGGCGCCAGGAUUUGUCCUUCUUUGAUACCAUGACCAGGUUUGCUAGCCAGUCCGGAUGUUUGAUGUCUCUGACGAAUCCGGCUUCCAAUUUUGGCUAGCUCCUCUCCCAUUGCCUGUCUUUUGGGUUCGGAAAAUCGCCGAAGAGCCUGUUUGACUGGCUUGAAUCCUUUUAGGAUGUUUAGGCUGUGUUCUGCCAAUUUGCAUGGGAUUCCUGGCAUAUCUGAAGGAUGCCAGGCAAAGAUGUCCCAAUUCUCCCGAAGGAAUUCCCGUAGUGCCGCGUCUACAUCGGGGUUUAACUGUGCCCCAAUGGAGGCCGUCUUUGUUGGGUCCGUUGGAUGGACCUGGAAUUUGACUAUUUCGUCCGCUGGUUUAAAAGAGGUGGACUUGGAUCUCUUAUCGAGUAUCACAUCAUCCCUGUUCACCGUGGAGCACAGCACCGUGAGCUCCUCUGCUGCUAAGGCUUCGGAUAGUGCCUCUAGGGCUAGUGCGGCUGUCUUGUUUUCCGCGCGGAGUGCUGUGUCCGGAUCACUGACGAGAGUGAUUAUUCCACUGGGCCCGGGCAUCUUAAGCUUCAUGUACCCGUAAUGGGGUAUGGCUUGAAAAAUUGUGAAUGCCUCUCGUCCUAAUAUAGCGUGAUAUCCGCUGCUGAACAAGGCCACUUGGAACGUGACCUAUUCGGACCUGUAAUUGUCCGGCGAGCCGAACACCACAUCAAGUGUGAUUUUUCCUGUGCAGCGUGCUUCCCGACUAGGGAUUAUUCCUCUAAAGGUUGUGCUGCUUCGCUCAAUGCGGCUCCAGUGUAUUUCCAUUUUUUGAAGGGUUUCCUCGUAGAUGAGGUUUAAUCCGCUGCCACCAUCCAUGAGUACCUUGGUAAGACGAAAGCCGUCCACUAUUGGACUGAGGACCAAUGUGGCUGGUGCUCGGGCUGUUCGGAAUUUAGGUUCGUCGCUGGCAUUGAAGGUGAUGGCCGUGUCGCUCCAUGGAUUUGUUGUUGAUACUUGGUAGACUUCGGCGAGGCUGCGGAUUGUUCGUUUCCGCAUAUUAUUUGAUGCAAAAGUCUCGAAGACUGUCGACACCGUGCUGGUACUGUUGGAGUGGUUCUCCGGGGCUAGAAGCUCUUCGCCACUUUUGGCCACCUGCCGCAGUAUCCAACAUGCUCGAAGGCUAUGUGUUGGGGUGGCGCCUUCUGUACUGUGAAUUUUACAGGGUCCGCUGAGCCAUCCCUCCAGUACGGUUCCGUGCCCUUUAUGGGGUUUUUGCUUUUUGGUUUUUAUACCUGGUGCCUGAGCAUGAUGCACCCUUUUGUUUCGGACUAGGGUUGUAUUCGGAGCCGGAUUGUCCCAAAACUUAGUUUCGGUUUUCCGGAAACUCUCCAUCGCAUAGUACUUUCGUACUAUGGACGCCAGGUCAGCGAAGCGUGUAAUUUCAGGACGACUUACGGCGUUCAAGAUUCCCUUGUCCGUGCUAUUAUUGCAGAAAAUUGAAAUUGCGUUUUCCUCACGGCAGUCUUUUAUCCUGUCCAUAACCAGGAGGAAUCUGGCCCAGUAAUGAUGUACUGUUUCGGCGGGCUCUUGCCGGAUUUGAGAUAGAUCGCAUAUGUUUGGGUGGGUGGGUGGAAUUGAGUCCGGAACCCUGCCCAACUUGAGGCUCAAGGGCCGAAAAGUUUCCAAAUUUGGAAGCUUGGAUUGCUGGACGUUGUCCAACGAGUCUGGUCCGCUGCCUGACUUUAGGUUCAGUACUUGAUCAACGUCCAUCCCUCCGCGGGAAUCCGGCAUGGAGGGAUCAGGAGUCCAGACAUAACUGGUCUUUAAUACAGAAGAAGAGUCGCCGCGUUGUUCCUCCACCACGACAACAUGGUGGGUAGCCUGGGGGAGUUAAUCUCUCUCAAAUCGGUUUUAAGCCCAAUCUGAUCAUAGUCUGUAGAGACCCCCAGGGCGGUGAUGCGAUCCAAGAGCUCGUUUACACAAGAGAGCUCAAUCAGAUCCAGCUGCUCGGUGAAUUCCGGGCUGACGCGAAGAUCGCUUUUGAUGACCCGAGAGGUCAUCGUCGAAGCGGUGGCCGAACAGGCGGUCAUGAGAAAACCACCUAGCCGGAUAGUUUGGCCGGCGGCCAAGGCUCCUUUGGCGAUGGUACCAUCUUUAAAGACGGGAAGAGGCAUCCUUCCUGAUCGUGACGGCACAGAGGAACUCUCAAUGAAAGCACCAAUGUCGGUGUCAAAACCGGCAGAUCUCUGGUAGGGGUCCCGAACUGUGCGUCUAGGCGGAUGGUAACAUGAGACAAGGGACACGAUGUUUUUACCCAGGUUCGGGCCCUCUCGAUGGAGGUAAAACCCUACUCCUGCUUGAUUGAUAUUGAUGAUAUGGGUAGUACAAGAGUGGAUCUACCACGAGAUCAAGGAGGCUAAACCCUAGAAGCUAGCCUAUGGUAUGAUUGUUGUAAUGGUUGUUCGUCCUACGGACUAAAACCCUCCGAUUUAUAUAGACACCGGAGAGGGCUAGGGUUACACAGAGUCGGUUACAAUGGUAGGAGAUCUACAUAUCCGCAUUGCCUAUCUUGCCUUCCACGCCAAGGAAAGUCCCAUCCGGACAUGGGACAAAGUCUUCAAUCUUGUAUCUUCAUGUUCUUGGAGUUCGGCCGAUGAUGAUAGUCCGGCUAUCCGGACACCCCCUAGUCCAGGACUCCCUCAGGCUUCUUAGCCUUUUUCAUUUGUAGUUGUCUGUACUCAGAUAUGUUAAGCUUCCGCAUGUGCUUUGACUUGUAUGCUCUGAAUGUUGGGUCGUGAGACCCAUGUUUGUAAUAUCUCGCUCCUCGAAGCCUAUUUGAAUAAAAUACUUGAGUUGUAGAGUCAUGUUGUGAUGCCAUGUUGUAUUUGCACAUAUCGAGCAUAUUGUGUGUAUGUUAUUGAAAUUCUUGGUAUGUGUGGGAUCUGACUAUCUAGUUGUUUAUCCUUAGUAGCCUCUCUUACCGGGAAAUGUCUCCUAGUGCUUGGUAGCUUGCUACUGCUCCGGAACACUUAGGCUGGCCGACAUGUGUCCUUCUUCGUUCCUGUGUCUGUCCCUUCGGGGAAAUGUCAUGCGAUGAAUACCGGAGUCCUGUUAGCCCGCUACAGUCCGGUUCACCGGAGUCCUGUUAGCCCGCUACAGCCCGGUUCACCGAAGUCCUGCUAGCCCAGUGCUACAGCCUGGAUUCACUCGCUGAUGACCGACACGUUCGAUGCUGGGUCAUGGAUGCCUGUCCCUGUAAGUUUGUGCCACUUUGGGUUUACGACUAGCCAUGUCAGCCCGGGCUCCUUAUCAUAUGGAUGCUAGCGACACUAUCAUAUACGUGUGCCAAAAGGCGCAAACGGUCCCGGGCAAAGGUAAGGCGACACCCGUGGGGAUACCGUGCGUGAGGCCGCAAAGUGAUAUGAGGUGUUACAUGCUAGAUCGAUGUGGCAUUGAGUCGGGGUCCUGACAUGUUCCCUCAAUAACGUUCUAAAAAAUCACUAAAUGUUUAUCAAAAUAAAUAAUGUUCUCUGAAGUUUAAAAAUGUUCUUCAAGUCAAAUAAUUUCCUCGGCAUCAACAAUUAUUUGGAGACCAAUAUUUGGGGACCAUUAUUGAAGAAACAUUAUUCACGGAACAUUAUUGGGGGAAGAAAAGAAAUUAAACAUUUAUUUGGGGAACAUUAUUAAAGAAAAAGAUAAAAAUAAUGUUCCCUCAAUAAUGUUCUAAAAAAAUCACGACAUGUUUUUCAAAAUAAACAAUGUUCUCUGAAAUUUAAAAAUGUUCUUCUAGUCAAAUAAUAUUUCCUCGGCGUCAACAAAUGUUUGGGGAACAUUAUUUGGACAACAUUAUUGAAGAAACAUUAUUCAGGAAACAUUAUUGGGGGAACAAAAGAAAUUGAAAAUUUAUUUGGGGAACAUUAUUUAUUUAAUUGAAUAAUGUUCCUUUGGGUCAAUAAAAUUUCCUUGAAGAAAAAAAGUUUAUUACAAGAAUAUAAUAAUAUUCCAUGAAUAAUGUUCCCUCAAUAAUGUUAUAAAAAUCACUAAAUGUUUUUGAAAAUAAAUAAUGUUCUCUGAAAUUUAAAAUGUUCUUCAAGUCAAAUAAUUUGUUAAUGAACAUUAAAAAAUGAUAACUGGAUAAUGUUCCUUUGGGUCAACAAAAUUUUGUUGGAGAAAAAAUGUUACUACAUUCCGAAUAUAAUAAUGUUCCCUCAAUAACGUUCUAAAAAAUCACUAAAUGUUUAUCAAAAUAAAUAAUGUUCUCUAAAGUUUAAAAAUGUUCUUCAAGUCAAAUAAUUUCCUCGGCAUCAACAAUUAUUUGGAGAACAAUAUCCGGGGACCUUUAUUAAAGAAACAUUAUUCAAGGAACAUUAUUGGGGGAACAAAAGAAAUUGAACAUUCAUUUGGGGAACAUUAUUAAAGAAAAAGAAAGAAAUAAUGUUCCCUCAAUAAUGUUCUAAAAAUAUCACUACAUGUUUUUCUAAAUAAUAAAAUGUUCUCUGAAGUUUUAAAAUGUGCUUCGAGUCAAAUAAUAUUUCCUCGGCGUCAACUAAUAUUCAGUAACAUUAUUUGGACAACAUUAUUAAAGUAACAUUGGGGGAACAAAAAAGUUGAACAUUAUUAAAGGAACGUUAAUCAGGGAACAUUGUAGGGCACAUUAUUAAAGGAAUUAUAAUUCCCUAGUUAACAAAAAAUGAACAUUUGACUGGGGCAUAUUAUUAAAGGGACAUUCUUCAAGGAACAUUAUUGGGGGGACAAAGCAUUGCUCUGAUGAUAACUGAAUAAUGUUUCUUGGGGUGAACAAUUUUUUUUUGAAAAAAUGUUUACUACAUUUCGAAUAAAGAAAUGUUCAUUGAAUAUUGUUCCCUCAUUAAUGUUGUUAGUAAAAAAUAAAAAAAUGUUUUUCAAAAUUAAAUAAUGUUUUCUGAAGUAAAAAAAAUGUUCUUCAAGACAAAUAAUGUUUUCUCAUCAACAUUUAAAUGGGACUUGGAAAACAUGUUCCCUAAAUAAUGUUCUCUAAAAUAAUAUUAAACAGAAAAAUGUUUCCUAAAUAAUGUUUGUCGGGAAAUGUUUGCUGGUGCCAAGAAAUUUCUCUUGGAAAAUGUUCCCUAAAGUGUAAAAAAAUAAAUGUUAUUUGAAUAUGUUCCCUCAAUAAUUAAAAGAAAUCCUAGAAAAAUGUUGACAUCAAGAAGUAAUCAUACACCUAAAAAAAUCCUAGAAAAACGCUCUCUAACAUACUGAUAUCUGAAAUAGUGUUCCCAGAAAAUUGUUUUUUAAAUAAUGUUCCUUGGAAAAUGUUCCUUGGUUAAUAAGAAAAAUGAACAGUUAACUGGGGAACAUUAUUAAAGGGACAUUCUUCAAGGGACAUUAUUGGGGGAACAAGUAUUGCUCCGAUGAUAACUGAAUAAUGUUCAUUUUAAAUAACAUUAUUGGGGGAAACCAGUAUUAAAUAAUGUUCUCUGAAGUAUAAAAAAUUUCUUCAAGUCAUAUAAUGUUUCAUCGGCAUCAACAAUUAAAAUGGGACUUGGAAAAAAAUGUUCCCGAAAUAGUAUUCUCUAAAAUAAUGAUAAACUGAAAAAUGUUGUCUAAAAAAAUGUUCGUCAGCAUCAACAAUUAAAUGAUACUUGAAAAAAAAUUCCCGUAAAAAAUUGUUCACUAGGAAUAGGGAAGAUGAAUGGCAAGAUUGGCCUCAUGUUAGACAUAUGUCCAUUUGUAUCCUUCGCUCGAGUCCAUGAUUUCCAAUUUGUUAGAUACAAACGGUUUUGACAAAAAAAAAACA
rnacentral:lncRNA from 1 species